UAUAUAUAUAUAUAUAUAUAUAGAUGGUUCAAGCAUUUUUGAUGUGAUGAGAUUCAAUGUCUUCAACCAUGUGAAGGAAAAAGUUGAGCAAGGUUCCUGGAUGUGGGGUAUCUUCCUUCAGCUUCUCAUAGUCGAGAGUCCAUGUAAUCAAACUUUCUUUGUCACCAAGAACAUCAACAUGGUAUAUGAUAGUGAAGGUCUUGUACAGCUCCAUGAGAUCUCCUUCAAUCAUCUUAAAUACGAUUGAUUUCUUUUCUUCAUUUAUGUCCUGAAUAAUCUCCUUUGCCACCCUAUCUUUCCCGUCUGUAAAAAUGAAAAUUAAAUCGAUUACAGACUCUCCAAUUCCUAGUCAACAUGCUGGUAAUCCAAAAACAAGGUUUGCGGAAUUCUUUCUUUUUGUUUUUUUGCGCAAAAAAGUAUGUUUUGAUUAGGAUAGACUAUACCAUUUACACAACCAGGGAAGUAUUCUCGUUGUGAAACACCAGGUAUAUAGCAAAAGAAAAAAAAUCAGUAGUAUUUAUUAAUUGAAUUCUUUACGAAGAUGGACUUCCUUAAUUAACCUUUGUUGUUUCCACAAUCAGAUUAUUGUCUUUGUAUAAAUACUAAUGAUAAUAUUAAUAAUAAGGUUAACGUAAUAGAUCUAGUCCGUUUUUCAUUAAAACUUUUCCCGAGGCAGAUAUUAAGCUUUUAUCCUUUCUUUUUCUGGCAAAUAAGUUAGAUAACUAGUUGUAUGCCAGUUCAAAGCAGGUAAAAACAGAUGGAGAGAGUUUAAAUCAACUUAGUCCAGAAGCUGACUAACAUGCAACAAAAGCUAAAUGAAUAAAGGAAAAACAAGAAAAACUGCGAGAGAAGAAAGAGCCAAAAUAAGGAACUUGAAUAUUGAUUUCAUACCAUGGGUAUAAUGCCAGCAGAUUUUGGAUCCAACAGUUCCAAGAUCACCACCAAGCAAAGUAAACCCUUGAACUUUCUCAGGAGUUAUGGUGGCAAGAUCAUGUGGUCUUUUGCUUAAGACAUCGUGGAACACAUCUCCUGCAGGGCCAUGGAUGUUAGUUGACCAAUCAUUUUACCUUUGAGCCCCAUUUUUUUUCUGAGAAACUGAGAAGGAAAUGACCAAAUACUGCUGCAGCAAAAAAAUGCAAAGAAAUAUGGUCUACUAGACUAUCCCUUUGCUCCUUAUAUAGUAUAGAACUGAUGGGUGACUUCACCCCCCACCUCCACCCCCACCCUUUCUUUUUUUCAAUUGGGGUCUAUAAACCACGUAAGAGGAACCAAUUAUCUUCGCUAGCAACUAUCUUUUUUUUCCCUAGUUCUGCCAUUGUUACAAAGUUUUUUUUUUUAAUUCAUGAGAUGUUGUAUUGGUAAAUCAGCCCUAAUAAAUGAUACUCAGCAUCUAUUAAAAUGUGAUUAUCCUCAUUGUCUAUUAAUCUAUAAUCAUAUUACAUCUAUAGUUUUGCACUUAGGGUCAACAGACUCGACGCCAUUCAUUUUUUUAAUGCCUACAACUAAGGUUUUCUUGUGGGCAACUUAAAUUUUAUUUUGAUCGAUAUUUCUUAGUCUCAUUUUUGCUUUACGACAAGAACAUUGGAUAAAAUAAGGGCCAUCCUUAACAAAUUAUUUUGGAGAGAUCUACUUCUCGUGUCCAUGGCAAAAAUGACUCUCCAAUAAUGACUCUUAGAAGUUAGUUGACACAAUAAAUGAUAUAAAUUCAUGAGUUUUGGACAGCUGGUAAGUAGACUGUUAAUGUCAAUAAGAGAUCGCAAGUUCGACUCCUGUACGUGACACCUUGAAAAACUCUGGUAAGAUGGUCACCCCCAAAUAAAAGUUGGACUUUAUGGAUGCUCCUUGGACCGAAUCCGGGUUAGACUCACUAAGAGUGGGGAUAUCAGGUGCUCAAAACAAAAUAAAUAAAGGGUAAAAAAUAAAUAAGCCCCCUGUGGUAAACCUAAUAUACAGAAAAACCUCCCAUGGUUUCAAAUUAUAUAACACGACCCCUCUAAAUUGUAAAGAUGACGGAAUCCGUUAAACUUAACGGAAAUAGACAAAAUGACCAAAAUGCCGUGAUAUAAUUAAGCCAAAGACAGCUCAAAAAAAUCAUUUGUUUUAUUCUCUAAAUAGAGAGAAUUGAGGGUUAAGGGGUAGAAUAGGUAUAUUUGAUAAAAAUUAGGUAUAAAUUUUUUUUUAGGUUUCAAUAAGUCAUUUCCGUUAAGUUUAACAGAUUCCGUCACCUUUACAAUUUAGCUCAAAGUAUGAGGUGCCGUAUUGUAUAUUUUGAAACCAUAGGGGGCUUUUCUGUGUAUUAGACUUACCACAGGGGGUUUUUUUGUUUUUUACCCAUAAAUAAAUGAUAUCCUCUUCUUACAUGGUUUUUGGUAGGUGGCAUACUAUUACCAAAUGGGAAAUAAAUGGAUAAGUUAAGGCCUUAUCUGAAUUACAGUUUUCUAAAGAAAAUUUUUGACGUUUUACAUAAACACAUUUAUGAAUCAUAUUUUAAUUUCACAUAUAUCAAAUUGUUGUAGCAUAUUUUUUUUGAGAAAAAAGUUUUGACGGCUCUCCAACUCUUUUUCAAGUUAAGUUUUGGCCCUUCAACAAUUAACAGUAAAGUUUUGGUUCUCGAUCUAAUAAAAGAGUAUAUUUGUGGCCCUUCUGUCAAAUCCAGAUAGUAUAGGGAUGGGCAAAAAAACCUGUUGAACCGAAAAUUCAGCGAACUCGAUGCAAUGCGAUCCGAUUUUUCUUAGCAGGGCAAAUAAGGGUCGGGUACCCGUGAAAAAUGGAUACGGAUACAGAUCAGAAAAAUAAAAACUCGUGGGUACCUGAUCCGCAGGGUAUAUUAUAUAAAUAUUAAAAAAUUAGAAAUCAUUUUAUAAUUUUAUAAUUUUUAAUCCUAAAUGUAAAUGAAGUGCCUCACAGCCUUAUAUUCUAAUAUCAUAUGAUCUGCCUCUCCUCAUAUUGUUUGAACAAAGCAAAUAUUCUCGGUGAAACCUAAAUCAAAUGAACAAAAUGAAGAAAAAUUUGUGAAAAUCUAUCAUAAAAAUUGCUCAUCCCUUUGAUUCUUUUCAUUUUUAGUCUACCUCCAUUGAUCUUUCCUGCAAAUUUUUUAUCAAUUCAAUCAAAGAUUUGUGUUUGGAGUUCUAAUUUUCUAUUAGCUAGAUGAUUAAAACAUUUGUGUCUUUCAUUUAUUUAUUUGAUUUAUUUUAUUGUAAUUAUGUCUCUUAAAUUUGUCUCUUUUAUUUUAGUGCAAGAAAGUUAUUUUUCUUUUUUAUCACCUUUAAUGCCAUAAGGUUUAUUCCAAAGAUGUAAGGAAAUUGGGAAGGAUUUUUCAAACUUGUUACUAAAAAGUGUAAAAUGAUCUCAAUUAAUUAAGCAAUGCAUCACUCAUGAUUUCAAUUUGAAGUUGAAAUUCCAAUGCAUCACUCACUAAGCAAUACAUAGUUGAAAUUUGAAGUUGGCUACAAUGAAUUACUUUCACUCAAUUAUCACACACACACAAAGAGAUAAUCAAGUAUAUGCUGGCUAUUAGAUAAAAAUUAAUUAGUUGGGCUGGCUGCCUUUGAUGACUAUCAAUAGAAGAUACACUAUCAUUGGAUACGCUCCCGCAAGCUGAAGUCAAGUCAGUCACAAUAAAAAAGAAGCCCGUCCCUAAAGUUUUAAUCAAAAUACAUUUCAUCCUUAUAGUUCUAUAGUUUUGAUCAAUUUCAUCCCUAAAAUUUCAUGUGAACAUAUUUUAUCCUCAUAGUUUCAUAAAAUUGACCAAUUGAGGACAAUUGAAUGAUUGUUAACCAAUUUGGACCAAGUAUCAUACAUAACUAGCAUGUCCCAUUGAUAAUUGUAUCAAUACUUAAUUCGAUUAUUGAUUAAAUUAUAUAAAUAACAAUGAGUGUGUUCGGAUAAAAGAUUAUUAUUUUUAAAUAUGUGAUAUAAUAUAUAUGAAAUAAAAAAAUAAAUUAGAUGAUAGACAGACAAUUUGAAAACGUGAAUAUAAUGCGACAAAACAAAAUUUUAGAAACAAAUGGCAAUCUAAACAGUUCUUUCUUUCACGUUAAUAUUUUUCUUCAUUUGAUUGCAAUGUAAUUGUUUGAAAGAUUUAUCCAAUUGGCUAUAAUGGAGUUAUUUCUUCUCCAUGACUUUAUUUCCUCUCAAUCUUUUUGUUCUAUUUGUGAUUAAGAAGAGAAUAAUGGUGGUUGAAAAUUUCUUAGUUUUUUUUAAAUAAAAAAGUGAAUUCAAAAAUAGUUUUUGAGGUUUUUUGUUGAUCCAACAUUUUCUGAAUUUUACUAACAUGCAUGUUGUGGUCAAGUGAUGAUAUUCCAUUCAAAUUGCUUGGCAAUCAAUCAAUUAUCCUUAAUUAGUCAAAUUUAUGAACUUAUGAGAAUGAAAUGUGUUUACAUGAAACGUUAAGAAUGAAAUUGGUCAAAAUUAUAAAAUUGUAAUGAUAAAAUGUGUUUUGACUGAAAUUUUGGGGACGAAAUUGCCUAACACCUCAAACAAUGAGGACGAAAAGUGCAUUUUUCCCUAAAAAUAAAAUGAACCUUCAUCCUUCCCCUUAUGUUUUUGGGCUACAGUCCUUUUUUGUUAUUACUGUGUUGAUAUUCAAGAUAACCGAACGUAUAUAGCUAGACAUGUUCCUUUUGAGGAAUCUAAGUUUUCCCCAUUCCUUGGUCCUUCUAUACUUGGUCCACCACCACGUAAAAAACAAACCAAUUCAAUCCACCUUGACUUGUUCUACCAAUUCAUGUUUUCAAAUUCAAUGGAUCCUACAUACAUUUUUAUCACAAACCGACUACUACUCUAACCCUUCUUGUCAAAGUCAAAUGAACUGACCCUAUGGUACUUCGUCACGUAACCAUCCAGAACAAAAACAAUACUACUUUAGCAAAACUUAUCUCUAAACCUUCUGUGGAGUCAUCUGAACUUAUCUCUAAAUUGAAAUAUGAAGUUAGCUGACAAUAAAUUACUUUCACUCAAUUAUUACUUAACAAAAUAAGUACAGUAUAUUGAAAAUCAAGAUGAGAAUGUGGGGUUGGGACAUCUACAUUUGCUUUCUGGUAUAGAGUCCAUUUCACCAUGUUCACAUCACCUUGGACAGUUGCCUGGAGAGUGGCUUUUACCAAAACACAGGUCUAAUUUUAAUUGAAAAAAAAAGUAAAUAUCAAAAUGGUGGAAUUAAAACAAGCAUGUAUAAGCUGGAAUCCAUCAACAAAAUUUAAAAAAAAAUGAAUAAAGAGAUUAAUUGGUUAAACUCACAUAGUAAUUUUCAAGGCCAUAAAACCAUGUUCAUCCUAGAUGGAGUCUGAUCAUUAAUCAUUUGGAGUACAAGACAGGCCAGUAUAAUUUCUUAUGUUUGGAUAGACUAGAUCUAUGUAGAUCACGUGAUUCAAAUUUUAUCAUACAAUCUCAGCAACUCAAGAAUUGAUGGUAUAGAAAAUUGUACCACAAGAUCAAGUCUAUCCAACUUUUUACCUCCUCGGUAAACUAUCAUUACUUAGUUUUAUGAGUAUCUUUUCCUUGCCAAGAAAACUAAUGAAAUGACUGAUUCUUUUUUUUUUUUUGGGUGUAAAGGCAACCACUUGAGUGAUUUCAGGAGAGACAAUGAUGACUUUAAGCUAUCAAAGUUUACUUUGCAGUAAAAAUGUAUGGCUCCAAAAAUUUUCUCACAGUCUUGUUAAAAGCUAUCAUAUAUAUGUCUGCUUUUAAUCCUACAGAUUAAUUACUGAGUAAUAGCUUUCUUGGCCCAUGACAAUAGGAACCGUCCGUCUUAGUGUCACAUAAUGCAGAUUCGUAAAACUUUAGCCCGACACCUAAGGGAGAUUCGCACUGAUAUUUCUAAGCUUAGGUAGGACCAAUAGGAGCCAAAAGAUGCCUCAGGCGCAUCAAAACUCGGUUUGGACCCCACCAAUUUACGCUAGAGCCCGUUGUGCAUUACAUCCAUGGGAGUUCGCCUUCCCCACCACAAUUUACAAGGACAGGACAGGAGCACCAAAAUUGGUCUUGUGUUUCGGCCCCAUCUCUCUACAGUAGAGUAGAAAGUCUUGUACGUGUAUCCAUGGGCCUGGUCCCGGGCCUUCCCUUCCCCACCACUAAUUAUACGAGAUUGGACAGCGACCACCGUAUAAAAUUUUUGUCCAUUGCUGAUUUUGGAGUUUCUGAAUAAAAAUGUAUUAUUAUAGUGAUUGGAUGCAUGCAAAAAGAUGGUUAGAAAAUUUGUUUACGGAAAAAAUAUAAUCUUUUUUUUUGGAAAAAUUACUUUUCAAAUGAUGCCUAGAGUCGGGUACAAACUACCCUCAAGGCAUACAAACUACCAAUCACAACUAUUAGAUUUAAGCCAUGCUUUUAUCUAUUGUCUGAGAGUAGUAAUUCUUAGGCCCUGUUUGGAAUCAAGUUUUUUGGCCAAGUUUUUUAGCUACUAGUUUUUUAACAACUUUAGCUACAGGAACCCAAAAAAACUUAUCAAAUUUUUUAACCUACACACUUUAAAAUAUCUAAUACACAAAAAACUUUCCAUUUUCUUCUUCUUUCUCCCCCACCCCUAUCCACCACACCUCCGCUGCCGGCCACCACCACCUCCACCGCUGUUUCCGGCGCCGGCCUACCCCUUUUUUUUCCUUCUCCCUCUCCCUCUCCCGGCCUCUCCCCCUCCCCCUCUCUUUCCCUCCCCUCCCCUCCCUGGCCACCCUCCCGCUUCCUCUCUGGUCGCACGCUACCACGAAAGACCGAAUUGGGCAAAAGGCUUCCGCUUCCUCUCUGGUCGCACGCUAUGCGAUCUGGUCGAACGAUCGAAUUGGGCAAAAAGGGAGGGGGGAAGGGGAGGGGAGGAGAGGGGGAGAGGGAGAUGGAGGAGAGGGGGAGAGAAAAAGCAAAAAAAAAAAUUGUAUUCUGCCAUGGCUGCUGGUUCUCCGCUUCGGGAGGGAGAGGGGGAUGGUGAAGGGGAGUAGAGGGGGAUAGGGGAGUAGAGGGGGAUAGGGGAGCAGAGAAGGAGAAGAGGGGAAGAAAAAAUGAAAAAAAAAAAUUGGGGAGAGGGGCUGUUGGUCGUCUGGUACCGCGAGGGAAGAGGGAGGGGGAAGGAAGGAAGAAGAAGAAGAAGAGGAGAGGAGAGAAAAGAAAAAGGAAAGAAAGAAAGAAAAAGAAAAAGAGAGAGAAAAAGAAAGAAAAGAAAAAAAAUGGAAGGGCCAUGGCUGCUGGGACUGAGAAGGCAGAGGUAACGGGGGAGGGAAGGGGGAGGGAGAAGGAAGAAGAAGAAGAAGAGAAAAAAGAAAAGAAAAAGGAAAGAAAGAAAAAGAAAGAGAAAGAGAAAGAAAAAAAAAGGAAAAAAAGUUUUUCGCUUUAAAAAAAUUUCUACAAAAAAGUUUUUCACCUUACAAAAACUUCUACAAUUUUUUCAAAAACUUCUACAGUGCACUACAGUAAAGUUUUAGACAAACUCCUAAAAAACUUAGGUUCCAAACAGGCCCUUAAUUUCAGCAUUAGUAGCAAAUGUAAAAACGAUUCCGCAGGUUAUACUUUGUGUGUUUGAAACACUUCUCUCUAAAACUCUUUCUCUCUCCCUUUUCUCUCUAAAACUCUUCCAAUCAAGAUCUUCUUCAUCUCUUUCACGGGAAAGAGAUCAAAUCUGAUUUUUUACCUCUGGGAGGAAGUACUCUUUAUACUUUUUAGUUUCUCUUGUUUAAAUAAAGGGAGAAUUGUAAUUUCAUCCAAUUUUGUAACGGAAUCCUAAUUGCGUGCAAUCACUUGCCUAGAUGUAGGAGCAUUUUAAAAUUUUUUUAACUCACAAAAUGCCGAUGACUUCCCUUUGGGAUUUCACUCCAAUUAUCCGAAAAUAAAAAAUAACCUGGGUUACACAAAGUCACAAACUUUCGUCGAUAUCCAUCUAAAGACUUUCGCCUCCGUCCUCUGCAGUUUGCUCACAUCCUUUCCAGGAAUCCCCUCUCUCUUCUCUCUGUCCUUUCCUUUUUCUUUUGUUUUCCCUUUCUAAAAGGACUCAAACUUCCUUUGCUCCGGUAAAUCCAUACAUGCUUUACCUUUUUCCCAGUUUUCCUUUUAUAGUCUUGGAUCUGCUUAGCUUUUCUGUUCCUUUUGUUUUUGAUACAAAUAUUGAGGCAAAUAAUAAGAGAAGCAAAAGACAAAUGUUUAUUGCUUUGUAAAACUCACACAACUUAUAACAUGAAAUUACUCUAUUUAUAGAGUUUAAAUCAACUCCACUAACUAUACCACUAACUCCACUCACUCCACUAGCAACUCCACUAGGUACUCCACUAAUCCCACUAGUUAUUCCACUAACUCCACUAAUUAGGUAGCAUAAACAAAUAUAAUUAAUUAACAACGGCAAAUAUUUCUAACAAUUCCUCCCUUAAACUGAAAGUUUAUCAAACAUUCAGUUUAAUAUGAUUUAUUAACUGCACAGACUCCAAGCAGCUUCCUUAAUUUCUGAAACGUGGAUAACUUCAAUGGCUUGGUCAUUAUAUCAGCAAUCUGAUCUUCACUUUUGCAGUAGAGAAAAUCAAUUAUUCCAUCCCUUGUGAGCUCCCUUAGAAAAUGAAACCUCACAUCUAUGUGUUUGGUUCUUUCAUGUAGAACUGGAUUUUUAGAGAGUUUGAUGGCAGAACUGUUGUCACAAUAAAUUGUAGUAGCUCCUUCUUGCUGAAAAUGCAACUCUUCAAGAAUAUUCCUUAACCAAAUUGCUUGACAGGCACAGGCGGUUGCAGCUACAUACUCAGCUUCAGUUGUUGAUAACGUAAUAAUUGGUUGCUUUUUUGAACACCAUGAAAUAGCUGCUGAACCCAUCAUGAACACAUAUCCAGACGUACUCUUUCUAUCAUCAGAAUCGCCUGCAUAGUCACUGUCAGUGAAACCAAACAAAUCUAAUUUUCCACCAUUCUUGUAAAAUAAUCCAUACUCAAUAGUUCCCUGCAAGUAUCGAAGAAUCCUCUUAGUAGCUAGAAGAUGUGUCUCCCUUGGAUUUUCCAUGUAUCUACUAAUAAGACUUACAGCAUGUAUAAUAUCAGGCCUAGUUGCUGUCAAAUACAUCAAACUUUCCACAAUUUGCUUGUAAAGGGUGCUAUCAACCCUCUUUCUCCUGGUUCUUUGAUGAGUUUUAAACCCACUUCAACUGGCGUACUAACAGAAUUACAAUUCGACAUUUGAAAUCUAUUCAGAAUUUUUUGCACAUAUUUUCUUUGAGAGACAAAAAUUCCAUCAGCAGAUUGCACCACUUCAAUACCCAAAAAAUAAUGCAUCUUUCCAAGAUCAGACAUAUCAAAUUCGGCCAUCAUAGAUUUCUUGAAUUUCUCAAACAUGGCACUAUCAUUCCCAGUAAAAAUAAGAUCAUCAACAUAUAAGCAAACAAUCAGCAAUUCCUCGCUUUGACAGUCACUGUGAUCAUUGGAGCAUGCUAAUGGAGAACUUCUUGAGAUCCAAAGAGUAUUGACAGAUUGUUGAAUCUGGAGUAGCAGAGCCAACAGCUGGAGAAAUAUUGUUAGAGGUGCAGAAAAUGGAGUUGGAAGCAUUGAAACUGAAAGAUUUUAAAGCCAAAAAUUAUCUUUUUCAAGCUAUUGAUCAGGCCAUUUUGGAGACAAUUCUUAGCUGGCUGCACAAAAUUGUCAGUGGCCAUCAUAAUUUACCAACACAAUUCUCACAACUCACUUUUGUUUUCACUCACAAGCCUAGCUCUAGUACCACUGAUACAAAUAUUGAGGCAAAUAAUAAGAGAAGCAAAGGACAAAUGUUUAUUGCUUUGUAAAACUCACACAACUUAUAACAUGAAAUUACUCUAUUUAUAGAGUUUAAAUCAAUUCCAGUAACUCCACUAACUAUGCCAAUAACUCCACUCACUCUACUAGCAACUCCACUAACUCCUCCACUAAUCCCACUAGUUGUUCCACUAACUCUACUAAUUAGGUAGCAUAAACAAAUAUAAUUAAUUAACAACGGUAAAUAUUUCUAACAGUUUUGGGUUUGAAGCGGAUGUAGCUUGAAUAUUAUACAGGAGGGGAAGGGAUCUGAGGUAUUUUUCCAUUUUUUGAGCCCGGAAUUAGGCCUCCAUGCGUGAUAUACUGUUUAUUUAUGGCUGCAGAGAUUUGUUUGUGAGUGAAACUGAUAUUUUUGUUCAUCCUUGAAAGUUUCUGAAUCUAAUGAUGUUUCCCAAAGGCAAAGUUAUACUUGGAUUUUGAUUUUGAUUUUAAAAUUUUGUGGUAGCUUGUCUAUUUAAGGUUAUGAAAAAAGAAUGCUAAACUCAUAGUUAGCUUCAGUUUCUAGAGCAUCAGCUUCACCUGAUUGGUGUUAGCUUUUCAUCUUAACGGAAGCAGGAGUUAUGACUAUGUUUCUUGCUGUUUUCUUUUGUUACUUUUUGUGAGAGAACGCAUCUUGGAAGAUGUAUGUUUAUGUUUAGCUUUUCAUAGAACCACAAUGUGUUUGAGAAAACCAUAUCUGAUUUUGUAGCAAAUUACCAAAACUAAAAAUCCUGAAAUUUCCUUCUGGUUUGAAUCGUCAAAGUAGAUUUCUUUACUCGGGGUCAAUGAUGAAAAUUCACUCAAUUAUCACUAAUAUAUGAUUAUGACCUUUCUUGGAUAUUAUUUACUUUUCAUGUUGGUUUUGUUUGUGCAGGAGGAUUUCCUAACUGACCAUGUUCAGAAACCUGAAAUUACUGAUUAUGCUAUCAUAAUUUAAGUCAUCUUCGGGUGCAAUGGAGAGUGAUUGCCUUACGGGUUCUUUUCGGCCCUGCAUAGACAAUGAAAUCAUGCAUAAAGCUUGGAGAUUAAUUCGAUGACGCAUCCCUGUUGCUUAUCCAACUCAAUUGAGUCAAGCUGAUCUUUUACACCGAGUUCUACCCGGAUAACAUACAUGUGUAAAAUGCAUAGCAACAGUAUGUCAAAAAUUGCUUCCCGAUUUAGAGUGAGUAAAGUUAUUGGGGGCUUACAAGCUGUAAUCUUUGAUGUUUGAAUGCGCCUUUGAGUUUGACGUAUCAAACUUGGAUAUUGCGGAGUAAUGAAUUAUGUUCCCUAUUUUUAUUUUCUUUUUCCUUCGAAAGGUCAUUGAUCUUCUUGCUUCUUUUUUCUGGAUAAUCAACCAUCUGAGAGUUCUUACCUUCUAAUAAUCUCCUUAGAAAAUUUUAUUUAGUCACUUCAAUGCAAAAGACAUAUGGCCUGAUAUGCACUCGACUUAACAAUAAUGAUAUCACAGAACAAUCCAUAAGGAAAUAAUAUUGCUCAAGAAGAAACCCCGCAUGCUCUCUUUGACAAUUUUUCCUUUUUCUAAAAUUUAUUUGCAUUUCCAUCAUAUGGUGAAGGGUGUAUUUCUAAUUUUUGUUUUCGUACAUCCCAAAGCAGGAAAAGAAAUUAAAGGACUUUGCUAUAGAUAAGUUUAUUAGGAUAGAAAAGAACAGAGAUGUGAAAAAAUGAAAAGAAGAGAAAAUGAGAGGAUAGAUUUUGACUUUUUAAAUAGUUUAUGAGUGCACGCGGCACAUUCCGUUACUCAAUUGGAAGGAAUAUGUCAAUUGUCCACUUUUAUGCAAAAUUGGAUAGAUGAGGGAUCAAAUUUACUGUUUGAAAUAGAUUGAGAUCCAGUUCCGUGCAUGGGUCCGUGCAUGGGUAAUACAUUGAGGAUUACAAUUACAAUUCUCCCUUAAAUAAAUUCUCUCCUAAAAUUUUCUAAUAAGAAAUUCUUCUCUUCUAGGAUCUCCUGGUGAGAGUUUCUUUUCUCCUAAAUUAUUCUAAUAAGAGUUUUAUUCUCUUCUGAAUUUUUUCUUGUGAGAGUUUUUUAGGUUUUUAUCUUUGCUAAAUUUGAGAUUUUAUAGAUCUAAAAUCUAGUUUUCCAUAUCCGCAAUUUCUCCAUUAUUGUCAGAUCUAAAUUUCUCUUUGGAUUUGAAUCAGUUUUAAUCCAUUAUUGUUAGAUAUAAAUUUUUCUUUGGACUUGAAUCAGUUUUAAUCAGAUAUGAUUGUCAAUAGACAUGCGCUUAUAUAUUGGAAUACAGUGAUUCAUCCGGAUGGAAGAUAUAUAGAAGCAUUAAUGUUAUUUUUAUUUGUAUUAUUUUCUUAAAUCUGUUAUAUCUAUUGAUUUUAGAUCUACAUGUAUCUGUGUCAUAUUUGUUUGAUGUAUUUUCUACCAUUAGUACAGAUUUAUUUGAAUGAAAUGAUCUUUUUUAUAUAAAAAAAAUUUCAGCAUUACUAAGGUAAUUGUAUUGUGUUUAAUCAACCUGUUUAUUUGCUUUUUCGUCUUUCACAUCUACUAACAUUUAUCAUUGCAAUCAUAUUUUACUUGUAAUAACGUGUAAAACAAAACCAUCGUAGUUAGCAAUUACUCCACUUCAUAUUUUAGUCCUUUUCAUGGUUUUACCCAAUUACUCAUAGUCAACACUGGUAGAGUUAGGCAUUAAUUUUAAAAAAUGUAUCAAGUUGUAUUCCGUUUUCUCUAUUGUCCAAUAAAAUGUCCUCACUAAUUAGUUUUCUUUUUCCAAUUCACUAUUAUCUGCGUAAAUGAAAAUAAUAUUAUUCGUCGUGGAAUCACAUUUUUUUAAGUGUAUUUAUGUUCUAUCAAUAUUCAGUGACAAAUACAAAUUUACAUCCAUUUGUCUCUUCUUUCAUUGUUAAUAUUCAAUAUGCGUCGUUCAAUCUCCAAUGCGCAAAUUUGAUAAAAUUAUAUAUUAUUUUAUUUCUUAUAUUCACUGAAUUAUAAACUGCCAAAUUUCUAAUAUAUUCUCUAUGUCUUCCAAUUCAAGAAAACCAUACCAUUUCUCCGAAAUACAAAGUUAUAUAUCAAUUAACAAUGUUUAACAGACACCCCAUUUAUGCAUUUUCCCUUAAAGGCUCUUCACUUAUUACACCUUUUUUAAUCUUACACUUUACUGCAAUGGCAUGACACGUUAUGAUGUUUCAUACAAUGACCCAAUUCAUUUUUAUCAACAAGAUGUGGGCAACAACUAUGCACUCGUAACUUUUGCCUAGCAAAAUGAACAUUGUAUAAUGUAAAGGGCUAUAUUACCAUUAUAUAUAUAUAUAUAUAUAUAUAUAUAUAUAUGUGUGUGUGUGUGUGUGUGUGUGUGUGUGUGUGUGUGUAGAACUCAAAUUUUGAAUGAUUUCUAAUAGUGCCAACACCUGCAAUUAAAAUCUUAUAAAUUCUCUUAAACUCUCUUGACUCUUAUAGAUACUCUUAACAAGAUUUAUCAACUAAUGUUUUAUUUAUAACCUCCUACACUUAUCGUGUAAGAAAUCACUUACACAAAAAAUUACCAAAUAAAGUAUAAAUUCCUAAAUUACGAUAACUACUAAAAACCUGAUUCUAAAUAAAACUACUAAAUAAUUAGAUAAAAACUUGUAGUCUUGAUUCAUUUGCCAGCAAAUCAAUCAUAUAGUAUUUGUUAGCUACUAAUUUUUUCAACCCAUAUCAAGUCUUUUACGUGCCACCAAUAAUAGCUCUUUUAUCGGCAUUGACCUAUUACCCAAUUUGAACUUCAUCCCUGCAAGAAGAACGACGAUCUAAUUUGGACAACAAAGAGCUCGGGGUGCUUGGGGGGAACCAGAAGAGAUGGGACCUUAUGGCCCUGCUCGCCAACUCAGUUGUCUUAGAGUUAAUUGCAAGAAAAUCUCGUCCAAAACGUGCACAUCGUGUUUUGCUUUGCCAUGUAAUCUUCUUCUUCUUCUUCUUCUUCUUCUUCUUCUUUUUUUUUUUUUUUUGUUUUUGCUUUGCUAUCUAACCUGAUUGUUCUGACACCAGAAAUAUUUGUAAAUUUAUUUCUUGCCCAUUUGAACAAACUUGAAAAUAUAAAAAAUGACCUCUUUUAGGGUCCGUUUGGCUGGGAGUAAAAUGUUUUCCUUGGGAAAAUAUUUUCCAUGGAAGUAAUUUUUCAGGAAAAUCAUUUCCCUUUCAUCAUUUUCAGGUGUUUGGUUAGCCUAUUGAAAAUAUUUUUUUACUUCAUUUUCUGGUGUUUGUUUAACUUUUGAAAUAUUUUCCAACUUUGAAAUAUUUUCACUUUUACCUCUGUCUUUACUUUCUACACAUUAUAACCACAUACUUCUUCCCAUGCAAAAUAAAAAAAUAUUUAUCUCAUUUUUUAACUUUAAAAAAACUUAAAGAAAUGUAUAUAUGGAUAAAAAAUUUCUCCUUAAGCAAUAAACAAAUUGCUAACCAUUCAUUGUCAAAUAUCAAUCACACGAAUGCUUAUUGUGACAUAUAUCUUACAGUCUCACUGCUAAAAGUUUCUCUAGAAAAGAAUGCCCCUAUUAUACAUAAUUAAUUGCUAGAAUAAGGUGAGUAGGGUGAGGCCUUUUUUUUUAUUUUUUAUUUUGAGCAUACUAUGGGCCUGUUUGAAACCUUGAUUUUUUACCAAGUUUGUAUAAAACUAAUUUUUUAACAACUUUUGCUACAGGAAUCCCAAAAAACUUAUCAAAGUUUUUAACCUACACACUUCAAAAAUACAUAAAAAACUUUCCCUUCAACUUUUCUUCUUUUUCCUCCCCCACCCAACCCACCACGUCCUUCGUUGCCGGCCACCACCUCCACCACCGCUGCCGCCGGCUAGGGGUGGCAAUUUUCGACACGACCUGAAAACACGACACGAAUCUAACACGAAAUUAAUGGGUUUGGGUUGAGGUUUCGGGAAUUCAGGUCAGAAUCGGGUUGAACCCGAAAAGAAAACAGGUCGAUUUCGGGUCAACCCGUGGUGACCCGAUAUGACCCGUUUAUGAAUUAAAAAUAAUUUAAUAAACAUAAAAAUAAUUUUAUCUGACUAAGCUAAGUUAUUCUUUUUUUCAAACGCAUUAAUUACUUAAUCCUAAAUGAAUUUAUUUAAUUUGUGUGAAGUUGAAAUUAUUAUAUUUGAACAAAUAAUAUAUUAUAUUAUUUUUUACUUUUAUACUGUUUUAAUUUAUUUUAUAUUUUGUUUGGGAUAAAACACUUUUACGGUGUUUAAUUUAUUUUAGAUUUGGCUUGAAAUUAUUUAUUUAAAUUUUUAUUACUUGAUUAUGUAAUUAGUUUUGUGAGAAAUUAAUUUUAUUAGAAAUUACAGUGAUAAAUUAAUAAAUUAAAAUUAAAUUUCGGGUCGACCUGUCAACCUGAAAUUUUCGGGUUCGGGUCAAUAUACCUGACCCGUCACCGGUUGGCGGGUUGGGUUCGGGUCAAUAGAUUUUUUGACGGGUCGGGUCAAACCCAACCCGCCAACCUGAUUUGGACCCGAAUUGCCACCCCUACCGCCGGCGGUCACUAUUCCGACAGCUAGUUCUGGCCUUCCUCUUUUUUUUUUCUCUCUCCCUCACCCCCUCUGCUCCUCUCCCCUCCCCCUUUUGACCGAUCUAUUGGUGCUCUUUUUCUUUUUUUUUUUUUCUUUCUCUCUCCCCCCUCCCUUCUUCGCCUCUGCCUCCCCCACCACCCUCCCCUUCCCCCUUUGACCGAUCUGGUCGCUCGACCAGAUUGCAAAGGGGGAGAGGAAGGGGGUUGCGAUCUGGUCAGCUAGGGGAGGGGGAAGGUAGCGGGGGAGGGAAGGGGAGGGGUAGCGGGGGAAGGAAGGGGAAGGGGAGAGGGAGAGGGAAAAGAGGGAUGGCGGGGAAGGUAGAGAGAGGGGUGGUAGGGGAGGGAGAGGGGAAGAGAAAAAAAGCAAAAAAAAAAAAGAAAAAAGAAUCACUUGUUAGUUGCUGCCAUGGAAGUCUCGGGAGAGAGAGCAGGGGAGGGAAAGGGGAGAGAGAAGAAGUGGGGAGGGAGGAAGGAAAAGAAAAAAGAAAGAAAAAAAAAUUCAUCUUACAAACACCCAAAGUUUUUCUACGACUUCUACAGUGAUCUACAUUAAAGUUUUAUACAAACACCCAAAAAACUCACCUUUUAAAUAGUCCCGAUCUUUGAAAGUUUGACAGAUACCUUUGUAGACACCAAAAUUUUAAUAAUCCCUUCUUAUUAUUUAUUUCAUUUUUAUUUUUACCUUUUUAUUCUCAUUUUUAAGGAAAUUUUAUUUAUUUGUUUGGUUAUGCAGGAAAAGAAAGAGAAGGCAGAAAAGAAAAGAAAAAAUAAAAAAAAAGGGAGGAUGCCUCACGCGCGCGUGCGCAUCAUCUUCCUGGUUUCGUACAGAAGCCAGGAACAAGUCUCAGGAAUUGCAGCCGGCCAUUUGAUCCAUUUCCACUCGUUUCUAUUGCAUUUUUUUCCCUCCAAGCCCUUCGGUACAAUGCCAACUCAUCCUAGUUGGAAUCUAUCAAGAAAUAUCCAGAUCAAAAGCCACCCGAUGGCUUCAAAAAUGCCACAAAAAAAAACCCAUUUCAUCUGCACCAUUGAAGCAAGGGUUUGGGAGGUGUUUUGUGCCUAUAAAAGGCUCAUAAACGCAGCCCUAAAGAAAGAGAACAAGGGAUAGGUGGCUGAAGGAAGAAAAAAACAGAAAAGAUAGAGAAACCAGAGAGAAGAAAGGAAAGAAAAUUUUCUGGAAAAUUCGAUACCGGGUUGAUCGAGCAGCCAUCUUUGGAUGUCAUUUUCUCUUUCUUUUUAGUUAUUUUUUCAUAUUAAUACUCUAUGGAGGUAGAUAAAGAAUUUUCGUGUUGAAGGUCUCUGGAGAAAACAACUUUAAAGCCAUGAAAUCCGACGCCAAAGUUGGAAGAAAACCAGCCCUGGUUCCGUCGUAAUUUUGUUGAAAAUUUUUCAAUCCGCUUCCACUAGCAUUUUCCGGGUUCCAGUUUGUUUCUAGAGCUUCACAAGGUAUUUUUAUAACCUCUAUUAGUUUGAUUCGACACUAAACUAAGAUAUUUGCACGAGUUUAUGGGAUUUUGCAUUUUUGUUGAUUUUUGGUUGAGAUUCCUUAUGUCUUGGAAAGCUGUUCUUUUGAUGGUUUAAAAAUUAGCUAAAAAAUAGCGUAGAAGAUGACUUGAUGUUUGCUUUUGAUAGAGUGGCCGAAUAACUUGUAGUUUUUGGUGUUUCCAUGGUUGGUUCCGUCGAAGUCAGUUUCAUGGCUUCUUUCUUGCAUUAUUAUCAUAUUUGCGCCUAUUUGAUCUUCAAAAAGGCUUUGUAUCGGAGUUUUUGGUUGUGUUAAUGAGUGGUAUAUUCUGUUGGAUUUUAGUUCACAAAUCAAUGGUUUUGUUUGAGCUCAUGCAUGAUUUUCCACGUAUAAAGCUGAUACUUUGCGAAGAAAAGUUGCAGAAGAUGAAAUGAAGAAGAAAGCCUCGGUUCUGAUUUGCAUGAAACUUUUAAAAACUACAUUUCGACCCCUAAAUUUUCACCUAAUUUCACUAUGACCUAAAAACUUCUACAAAUGAACCAUCUUGACCCCUUUUAAAUUUUAAUCAUCUUUUACAUAUUUUAAACAUGUUUGUGGGCGAAAUAAUUCUGGGUUUUAAGACAUUAUUAGGAUUAAAUAAUUUUUUUAGUUGAUUUAUUAUCCUAUUAGGUUUUGGUAAAAUAAGUGUGGUUUUGGGUUAAGGGUUAUUGUUUGGGUUUUGGUUAUGAAUUUUAGUUAUUUUGAUUGGGUUUUUUUUCGUUUGGGUUUCUUCGAGCAAAACUAUGGGUUGGCUUGUGUAUUCUGCCUCGGACUUUCGCUGGGCUUGGGGAGGUUUCAGCCCAACUAAAGCAAAAGAAAAUGAAAGAUAGCCCAAUGGCCCAAUUCCUUAAGAAACACUGAGAAUUGCAAUAUGGUCCCUGUACUCUUGUAUAAUUUUGUUUUGGCCCUAAAAACUUUAGUAUUCUUUUAAUUAGGUCUUUAAUUUAAUUGUGCUUUGGUACCUAAAUUUUUUUCUUUCAUUUUGACCUCUAUUUUUUGUAAUAAUUGAAUUUAACCCCAAAAAUUUCUUAAUUUUUGUAAUUAGGUCCCUAAUAGUUUUGAUUUCUUAAAUAUAAUUUACUUUUCUUCUUUAAUUAUAGAUUAUACUUCAUUUAAAUACUUUGAUUGGUAGAUUUCAUGAUAAUUUCCAUUUAUUUAUAAUUAAAUUAGUGUCUUAAUCAUUUUGUUCGUUUUGGAGUAUAAGUAGGGCAAAUUUCACCCUAUUUAAUCACCACUUCACGAGAGGUAACCUCUUUUAUUAUUUUAAACUCUUUCAUGUGCUCCAAUGUGUUUUUAUGUGUAAUUGCAGGUUUUGAAUGUUUUUUCUUUUAAUUAGUCAUUCUUAUUCAUUUUUAAGUUUUAUUUGUUUUAUUUAAUUUUGAUGAUUAUCUGAGAGGCAUUAAAAUGCCAAGUUGUAACAGAUAGGUGCUCAAGACAUGUAUUUUGCUAGUUUAUGCAAUAGAUAGGUUCUAAUUUUUGUUUAAAAUGUAUUUAGUUAGAUGAAUAUAAUAAUUAGGUUAUUUUUUUUUUGAAUUCCCCUUUAGAUUGUAGUUAGGGUCCGAAUGUAAUAGUUAGGCUUUUAUUUGCAUUUAUUUGUUUGGGUGCUUGCAUGCUUGUGUGUUUAUGUGUUUACUCAUUUUCAUUUGGGUUUUGUAUCUAGAAAUUAUGAUUAUGUGUUAUGUGCUCUAUGUGCAUUAUGUGUUUAUUUGUUUUAAUUAUGCUUUAUAUGAUUUAUUUAAUUAUAAUAAAUGCAUGACGUCACCACAUCAGUCCAACGCUAAUUGUGACCUUCCUUCGCGAUUUCUCACUAGUCCCACGCUAGUGAGAACUUAUAGACAUGGGUUAGUUAUUUAGUCCAAUGCGAGACUCUUAGGGACCGUCCACGCACUAUAUCAUGUUUUUGUGACAAUCACUACAUUUCAUGCAUAUUUUCUACUUUUUAGAAUCCCUACCAUUUGGCAUGAUAUUUCCUCUAUAUGUAUAUUCCUUAUCCCUAUGUGCGAAAUAGAACAUUUAGACUUGCGUUUCAUUUAAGAAACUUAGAAAUAUGUGAGAUCAUUUGCUUGAUUAGAUUAGGAGAGCACCCCUUCAAAUAUGGGAAAUGAACAAGUAUAGCUACUUAGUCUUAGCACGCUCGUGUCUCCUCUAUAAGAAAAAAAAUUGAGUUACAAAUCUUAGUCCCCCGUACUCAUUAUCAUGCAUUCCUUUAGCUCAUGUAUAUUUGUAUAUUAUUAUUUUUCUUUCUUUUCUUCGAGUCUCAUCUUUUGCAUAUUCGUAACCUUUUCAAAGAGUCACUCUUGGGCGUCUCAAUUAAUGCGCUUUGCGCCAAUUAAAUUUUGAAGAGAUAUUUCGACCAUCCCGAUAUCCAUUAGGUCUAGAUUUGCAUAGAUAUAGUAACAUAUAAAUGUGAUAAGUUUUAUAGGUUAAAUUAAAAAAUUUUUAACUAAAUCACACAACUAACCUUGACUAGAUUGAAAGGGUGUCAUAGAUCAAAUCUUUGUCUUCUCUUUCUUCAAUCGUGACUCCUGAACUUUUUUCUUUUGUUUUCAAAGACGUGGAGUCGUUUAAAGAGGGUUUUACCUAUUUUUUUAUUAAAAAAAUAUUUUUGGGUGAUUUGGUACACCUUAACUCAAUAUCAAGUGACGACUCCUAUUUUUUUAAACUAUUAUUUUGGGCCAAAAUCGUCGCACUUUUAAAGUCCCAUGUUAGGCUCUUUUUCUGCAUUUAUUCUCUAAAAAUCAAAAACUCAUUUUUACUCAAAAUUAAUCAAAAAUUCAUUUUUUAUAACACGUAAUUUUAUUUUUCAAAAAAAUGGGGCACGACAACCUUUAUCAGGCGGGACACAUACGUUUAGAAAAACAACUUUAGUAAGUUUGGAAGCGAAGUUGUUUUUUAUAAGAUGAGUGAAAAUCUUUUACACAGUAAAAUAUUUUCAGUAAUUUUGUGCAACCAAACAUGGGAAAUUAGGAAAUUAUUUUUCUCGAAAAGAUUUUCAACCGAACACAAACAGACCCUUAAUGCAGUAUCAAUUACUUCUGGAAAGCAACUUUGCUAUAUAAUGCAACCACCGAUACCCCAAGCACUAUUUAUUUGACCAAAUAACAAUCUUUUUUCUACACAUGCUUCAUGUCAUGGAAAAGUCUGCAAUAACGAUCGUUAUGAUAACGAAACUGUUUUUACCUGAUAUAACAGGUAGAAACAAUUUUAGUGACCAUUUGAUUACCUAUUGGACUGGUCACCUAAAUAAGAUAGUACCUAAAAAUUUGAUUAGUAAGUUUUACAUAAAAAAUAGUAAGUUAACUCGAUAAAUUAGUAACUUUUAUGUCUCAACAAGUAAAUUGGAAUAAAUAUGGAACUUACUUUUUUUUUAAAAUAAAUUACUACUCGAUAUCCAAAACUUACUUUUUGGAGAGUAAGUUUAGUUCAAGUAAUACUAAGUUUUUAUAGAUUAAUAGUAAAUAUUGUUGAUAGAAUAGUAAAUUUAGUUAGUGGUCAAAACCUACUAGUUUGUGGUAUAAAUUUACUAUUUUACUUAAAAAACUUAUAUGAAACAAGUAUUAGGAAGUUCAUUUGAAGUAAUGCUAAAAUUUUUUAUUAAUGAUUAAAACUUAGUAUUAUAGUUAGUAAUUACUCAUAAUGUAAAUAUAUGAUACACAAUUGUACGUAACAUUUAUAAAUGUUAUAUUGUUUAAGCAUUUUAACUAUACUAUGAAAACUAUUUUUUUUUGCACAUGACCUUUAAAAUAUGUAAGAAUAAUUUGUCAUAUUAUAAAUUUUGAAUUAUUUUUGAAUUUGUGAAAGGUUAGAAAGUUUGGAUGACAAUAACAACAAAUCUUUCAAGUUAUAUAUAGAAUUGCACUUAUCUAUACAUCACAAUUUUCAUAUAUUAAUACCUAUGAAUAUAAUAAAAUGGUAAAGUUUUAAUAAAUUUAUUUACUGGGUCACAAGUAUAAAAGUUAAAGUUGUAUUAUAAUAACAACAAAUCUUUCGAGUUGCAUAUAAAAUAGCACUUACUUAUACAACACAAUUUUCAUAUAUUAAUGCCUAUGAAUUUAAUAAAAUGGUAAGAUUUUAAUAAAUUUAUUUUCUGGGUCACAAGUAUAAUAAUUAAUGUUGUGUUAACAUAGCAUAAUUUUUGAAAAUUAUAAUAAAAUUACCCAUAUGUUAAGUUUUGUGACUUUCAAACAUACUUUGUAUCAUUUACAUUAUGGAUUUGUAUCCAUAUUUUUCUAUCAAACUCUUUUUCAUUGGCAAAUGGUAUAUAAAUUAUUAUAAAAUGUCAUUUUAUAAUAAUCAUAAUUUUUUAUAGAUGAAUGUUAUGCAAACUGUUAAAAUUAUCAAUUCACAAAUGGCUAAAUCUUACUACUUAUGGCAUAUAUUAGUCUAAUUGACUAAAAAAAUACUGUAAUCAUGUAUACGUUGAUUGUUGAAUUGAAAUUUCGUUUAUUACUAGUACAAGUUCUUCUAAUCAAAGCAAAAUAAAAUCAAAUAUCUUUCCCUUUUGUAUGUAGUAGUUAUGUUUAGUAGAAAAUUAUUAAACCAUUUUUACAAUACAUAAUUUCUCCUAAAAUUAGUAAUAUUUUCCAUGACCUCUAACCUUAUCAAUAAUACUAACGACCGACAUGUAGAUAAUCUUAAAAGCAAAAGCCAUCAUUAUGACAAAAAAAGAAUAUUUUCAUGCUGAAUAAACAAAAUUGUAAUUCUAUAUAGAAUCGAAGAAAUUCAUCAUGAAUGAAAAUGAAUUGCAAAGUUAUUACAUUUCUAAUUUCAUAUGUAUCUAGAAUUUCACGCAGCAUUACUUUAGAGGAACUUUCCUUUUUCACACUAAGGAACCAAUCUCAAUCUCUUCGUCUCUUUUAUUUUUUCUUUAACCAUUAAAAUACUAAAUAAAUUUAAUUCCAUUUCAAGCUCUAGUUAAUUGUAUACUAAUAUUUUACACAACAAUCAAUUGAGCACCAAUUUCCUUUUUUUAAGUAGCUAUUAUUUAUUUUAUUACUUUGGUUAAAUAUUUACAUAUAAAAUAAUAACAAUAGAAUGCCAAUCCUCGGAUCAAUGAAACUUCAAUUAUUGUUAAUAAAAAUAAUUUUACAUUGAUAAAAAUUAGUCUACAGAAUGAAAAGUCAAUGGCAACAAUUGCUAAAAUAUAGCAAUUUUUAAUUGUGGGAAAAUAAACAACUAAGUUCCCAAAAUAUUUCACUUUUAUUGUUUAAAAAAUCUCAACUUGUUAACUAAAUUCAAAAUAAUUCUAUUGUCAAAAAUAUUUCUCCUCAAAUUAACUUUAAUGAUUAGAGAUGAGAUACAAAUAUGGCAAAAUAUCGCUCAUACGUGUGUCAUGGAUAUUUGAGACUUUUAGUAAAAAACUUUUUGUUGUUAAAAUAACAUUGUAUCAUAGUGUACUAAUUAUUUUAGAACCAUUUUUAUACGUGAACUAAAUUUAAUUUAAAUUAUACAAUAUAUUAUAUAUGCAUGUGAUUUUCAUUUAUAAUUGUUGGAUCCUAUUUUUUAUGAACAAUCUCCCAAGGAAAAAAGUUCAGAUCAUACUGAUUUUCUUAUAUUAAUUGUUAUACUAAUUUUGUCAUUUUUAUUGUUAUAUUAUUUCUCAUUUUGUUUGGGCUUUAGCUCUUAUUAUUUCUUGUGUCCCAGGUCUAAAUUCAUUAAAACUUUAUCAUCUUAUUAUAUUCAUAAGUGUUAAAUUAUAAAAAUUGUGAUAUAUAAAUAAGUGAUAUUCUAUAUAUAACUAGGAAGAUUUGUUAUUAUUGUUAUUCAAACUUUUCAGAAAUUGAAAAUGAUUAAAAACUUAUAAUACGACAAAAUUUUAUUACAUAUUUUACGAGACUAUGUGAAAAGUCAAAUUAUUUUUCAUAGUAUUUUAAAAUAUAUAAAUUCAAAAUUUUUUUAAAUUAUACUUAUAAUCAUGUAUUAUACAGGUAUAUUACGAGUACUUACUAACUAAGGUAAUAUGUAUUAAUCAUUAAUAAAACAUCUUAUCGUUAUUUCAAAUAAAUUUCCUAAUACUAGUUUGAAAUAUGUUUUAAAGUAAAAUAGUACAUGUGUCCCAUAAUCAAUAAGUUUUGAUUAUUAAUCAAAUUUACCAUAUUAUCAGUAAGAAUUACUAUUUAUGUAUAAAAACUUACUAUUACUUGAAUUAAACUUACUCUCUAAAAAGUAAGUUUGGGAUAUAAAGUAGUAAUUUAUUUAUUUAAAAAGUAAGUUUAAUAUUUAUUCAAAUUUACUUUUUGAAGUAUAAAAGUUACUAAUUUAUUACUGUUAACUUACUAUUUUAGAUGAAAAACUUACUUUCUUAUUUUUAAGUGUUAUUCUAUUUAGAUGGAUAGAUCCAUCAAGUAAUCAAAUGGUCGCUAAAAGUGCAACAACCUGUUAUAUCAGGUAAAAAAUUAUUUCGUUACCAUAAUUAUCGUUACUAAAACAUUGUACUCGUGUCAUAAUCAUCGAGCUUUACAUGAAUUGUUCAUCAAAAUUGGUCUCCCAACUUUGAUCUUAUCAUCUCAUUCUACCAUUUAAUGCGACAGCGAAGAAAGUGAAACUAUACCAUAAAUCUGCCCGAAUACCAUCAAAUAAAUAGCCUACAUGAAUGUGUUAUGUACUAUAAUCUUUUUCCUACUGCAGCUUGAUGAAAAUGGGAAAUAGUUUUACCCUUCAACUCGUAUAGACACUGAACAUACACAAUUUUUUUUUUUUUACUGCAGUUUCUACAUUGAUCUCCUUUUUCUAAUAUUAAGUAACACGAUGAAUUAAUCUCUUAAACUUCCAAAUUGCGGUAAUUACAGACAGAUGUUUGCCAACUUACAACUACAGCUUUGCCAAAUUUCUCAAGACAAAGAAAAAUAUUUUUAAGUAGGCAUCUAUGUGCAAUGUAGGUAUGAAACCAGAGAAUUCUAGUAGGGUUAAUUAGAAAAAUCCAGAACUAUUCAGGCGAUUCAUAGAAUUAUACUUAUUAAAACAUGUCCUAAUAAUUAUAGUGGAAGCAAUUUAAAAAAAAUUAAUGUUGGGAACAAAUUAAGCUAAAUAAAAUAAUCAUUAUCUUUGUCAUACCUAACAAUUUCAUUCAAAAAUAAUUAUUGUCUUUUUCAUACUUAACAAUUUCAAGCUAAUUAAAUCACAGGUGUUUUUCUAAAGAAAAAAAGAUAGCAAGACAAAAUUGUAUAGUUUAGCUUAUUAAACAUCCGGUUUUAGAUAUUUAUCAAACAUUAUAGAUAGAUUUAUUAUUAAGAUUCAGAUAUUCAUAUAUUUCUUUUUAUUAGUUAAAAUUUAGCAAAUUAAUUGUUUCAAUAUUCAGUUUCAGAAUUCAGAUUCAAUUUUAUCAAAUAGGACCUUAGUGUGAACUCUUAAUUGUAAUUGAAUUUGAUAUUUUAAAAUUGACAUUUAAUACAAACUUUUAUGUUUAACUAAAUUUGAUUUUUUCAAAGCCACAAUUAAUACAAAAUCUCAAAUUUAACUAAAUUUGAUUUCUUGUCAAUCACAUUUAGUACAAGACAAAGACAAAGAAACGGUAAAAUGGGAUUUAUAUUACUUACUCGAAAUGAACUUUUUUUGUUUUAAGAAAAAUACAAAGAAAUUAAUGUUAAAAGAUUAACUCCUUUUCAUAAAUUUUUGUCAAAAAGUACAUAGGGAAAUGGAUGGAUUGGGUGAUUCGAAGAAGGACGUGUAAGUGAGAGAUUUUGGUUUUAAGCUUCCCACUUACGCUAUUAAAAUAUAUAAAUUCAAAGUGUAUGUAAUUAGACUAAUUUUUGGGGAUUAUUUAUUCUAACAUGGUCGACAUUAUUGAUGAAAUAUGGCAUCAGCAGAACCUAACACUUUGGAAUUCAUCUGUCCCAGAAUUUCAAAUGGUAACAUUUUUCCUUAAAAUUGGAAUAUUUAUUUUAGGGAGGUAAGAGCAUCCGGUGGAAUUGAAAUAUGAAUUUAGCUAACGGGUGUGCAAUUGGCCCACGUUGAAAUAUCAGCUUGGCUAACCGGUGUUCUAAUGGCCUUCACUAAGUGGGGCGUUAGGCAUUAAUUUUUGAAAAAAUGUAAUUAAUUUGAAAAAUUAUAUAAAUUCAGGGGAUAUAAUAAUUGUGAUUGUGUGAAUUUAUAUGGUAAGUUAGAUGUAAUUUAGGUACAUUAACAAAUAUCCACCUAGAUGGGAACCUUCACAAAAAUCCCAAGGCAUUGUUGUUUUGAGAGAAGGGCAGGGAAAGGAAAGCAAACGGAAAUGGAGGGAUAAAGUUUUUAAAUUUUGGAUUAGUUUUUGAGGAGAGAAAGAAAAGGAUUUGGAGGGAAAGGGAGGGAUAAAAUUAGUUAUUUUUUAUCAACCUGUUUCAUGUCCAAAUGUGGGCAAAACAAAGGGAAACGACACCAAAUUAAUGAAAAUUUCAAAAUGUUCUAAAAACCUAUCAUGUAUUUAUAAAUUAAAUUUUAAAUUAUGGAAAAAAAUAUAAUUGAUGCAUGAUAGUUUUCUUUCCUUUCCUCUCGUAAUCCAAACAAAAUAGACAGACUUAGAUUUCUUCUACUCCCCUUUCUUUUCUUUUCCACUAGAGUCUUCUCCUUUCCUUUCCUUUCUUUCAAUCCAAACGGUGCCUAAAAGAAAAUACAAGAUGGUGCGACUAAAAGUUCAUACCAUUCCUAUGGACUGUCAAUUGCAUCAAAACACGAACUUUGUCUAUAUAAUGUGCACACUUUGUGACUGAUUUCUGUCGAGUGCUUAGCCCAUGAUUGUUAGUGUUGCUUGUUGGAUAGUUUACUCUCAGUAAAAUACUUUGAGAUUUUAGGCCAUAGUAUAUACUUAUGGCUUAUAAGGUGCAUUACUAAGACAAAAAAUACCAAUCAGCAACAACGGUAAUAUUGGGUUUAAAUGAUACAAUACACUAGGAUAAUGUGCAUUUUACCGACUUCAUGAAUGUGAAGAACUAAAUAUUAUGUAUUAAUUAUUUGUUUUUUUUUCCGGAUAUAUUUGGCUUCAAUUAGCGCUCAAACUCGAGAUCUCACAAGUAGACAAAGAAACCAUAUUUUUUAGGUAUGGUUUCUCUUUAUUGCUAGAGUUGGUAUCAAAUGUACUUAGGAGACUGAGAUACCUUAAACAACCUUAAGCCAGGGCUAUGAGCUAUAAAACAAGAAGAGGAUGAACUACUAGAAGAAGAAUAUGGGCAUAGUAGGGCUGUCAAAUAAAUUGAGUUGCUCGCAAAUAGUUUGAGUCAAAACUCGAUUCAAGUUAGGUCAACAUCGAACUCGAAUCGAGUUCGAGUUAACUGAGUUGAACUUGAGAUCAAAGAUACUUAACUCGUUAGUUCGCAAAUCGACUCGAUUUUAUAUAUUUAUAUUUAUAUUUUUUAUUUUAAUAGUAAAAUUACAUAUAUCCUUAAUAUUUUAUUAUUUGUUAAGAAACAUUACUAUUUUAUUCAUUUUUAAAAAUAUAAAAUAAUUAUUUUUUAUUUUUUUAAACUCAAGCUUGAGCCCUACAAUAAGAACUCGUUGAUUUUGAGUAGGGGUGGCAAUUCGGGUCCAAAUCAGGUUGGCGGGUCGGGUUCGGGUCAACCCGCCAGAAAAUCUGUUGACCCGAACCCGACCCGCCAAACCGUAACGGGUCAGGUAUGCUGACCCGAACCCGAAAAUUUCAGGUUGACGGGUUGACCCGAAAUGACCCGAAACUUAAUUUUAAUUUAUUAAUUUAUCACUGUAAUUUCUAAUAAAAUCAAUUUCUCACAAAACUAAUUACAUAAUCAAGUAAUAAAAAUUUAAAUAAGUAAUUUCAAACCAAAUCUAAAAUAAAUUAAACACCGUAAAAGUGUUUUAUCCCAAACAAAAUAUAAAAUAAAUUAAAACAGUAUAAAAGUAAAAAAUAAUAUAAUAUAUUAUUUGUCCAAAUAUAAUAAUUUCAACUUCACACAAAUUAAAUAAAGUCAUUUAUGAUUAAGUAAUUAAUGCCUUUGAAAAAAAGAAUAACUUAGGUUAGUUAGAUAAAAUUAUAUUUAUAUUUAUUAAAUUAUUUUUAAUUUGUAAACGGGUCAUAUCGGGUCAUAUCGGGUCACCACGGGUUGACCCGAAAUCGACCUGUUUUCUUUUCGGAUUCAUCGGGUCCAACCCGAUUCUGACCCGAAUUCCCAAAACCUCAACCCAAACCCAUUAAUUUCGUGUUAGGUUCGUGUCGUGUUUUCAGGUCGUGUCGAAAAUUGCCACCCCUAAUUUUGAGUUUGAUAAAAUUAAAUCAAAACUCAACUCAAUUAAACAAAAAUUUGACUUGACUCAACUCGUUUACAAACCUAGAUAUAGAGUUACAAUAGUGACAGGUUGUCGAUGCCUGUGCAAUAAUAAAACCUGCUCAAACUAAAAGUAAUUUCUGUAGAUAACGGUAAGCAGGGUCGAAUCCACAGGGACUGGGAGUAAUUGUUCCUUUUCAAAUUCACAGUGACAAAGGGGAGUGUUUUUAUAUCAGGGGUGACAACUCAACUAAAAGUAAAAUAAUAAAAAUAAAAUAGCCAACUAGAAAUUAAAAAAACACAAUUUACUAAAAUCAAAGGAUCUAGCCAAGGAAUAACUUCAGCAAUGGUUCACCUAAUUGAUCAUUGAUAAGCAAAGGCAAUUCCAAUUAUUUACUAAUAAAUAGGUUAUAACUGCCAAACAAGCGAUGGCAGUCAGCCCCUCCUUACUGUGUCGGUGAUCAAGGUACGCUCGUUAAUCACUUCUUUAAUUGGAAGAACAAUCCUAGGUACGCCCAUAAGAUUUAAUUUCCCAAUUGCCUUACGUAUUAGAGGAGCCCUAUUCUAAUCAAAUAACGCACUACCAGGGUUAUUUCAGAUUAGCCCGCGUAUCCCCCUGACACGAAUCUAAUCGUGCCAGUUGUCACUAUUUCAAGACAAUUAAACAAUUACGAAUUUAAUGUCCUAAUUGACAGUAGAUUAUCCAAUCAAUUAACCAUCCGGAUCCAAGACAAUCAACUAAUUAAAUGACCAUAAGCAUAGCAAUCAAGGAAUAUGCGAAUACUAAUAAAUAAAAGAAAAAAAUUAAAUUAAAUCGAUCUUACAAUUUGUAGGCGAGCCAGAGCCUUCGUUAUUUCUUGACUAGAAUGAGGAAAUUAGUUCAUAUUUGAUGAACUGAGUCCACACAACAUUGAAGAGAAGCCAGCGGCCAUGGUCCGUUGAAAUUUAGCAGAAUCCAACUCGUCUCAAUAUAUUGAAUGAAUAGAAAAGCUACAAAAGUUCAUAGUUUUCACUCCGUCUGGCGCACAACAAUGAAGAAAAGACUACUAAAAGCAACUAAGGAAGAAAAGUCCAAGCCAUGAAUGGCUAAACUCCUGACAUUCGUAAGUCCCAAGAGCUACUAAGAAGCCAAAGAAAAGUCAAAGGCAGCAAGUCUUCAUUGUUCCUGCCAUGCGUUUCCGUUCUUUGGUCAAAAGUCUAAAAAGGAAGAAGAAAUCUAAUUCUAAGCUAGAAGCUGCUGCCCCUUCUUCUGCACCAUUUUCUCUUAUAUCCUCCUGUUCCGUGCGGCGGCUCCAGGGAGAAGAACACUUUUGGCACAAUGACCGAAAAGGGCUCAUGUCCCUACUUCCCAAAAAUGCCCUUUCGAGCCUUCUAUUUAAUUAAUUUCCCGAUGAUUGUCAAAUUGGCCUUAAUUGUAGUAUUUUCAUUCUACUCCCUGAAAUAAAUGUAAAUUACGAAAAGUGAGUAGAAUCCAAUAAUUAAUUCACAUCGGGUCAGGUAAUAGAAAAAAUUAAUAAUAAAAUAAAUGAUAAAAUUGCACCCUAUCAAAUAGCUCUAUGAAUUACCGUAAGACAUAGAGAAUAGAGAGAUUGGUACAUAUCCUCUUAAUAGUUAAUUCCCCUCGAGGCAACUCUGGUAUGAUUGAGCUAAAGCUCAUUGUGCCUAGCAAAGGGGGUGUAAGUACAAUGUUUUACUCUUUUUUCCCCUUUUUUUUUUUCUUUUCUUCAAAAGAGGAUUAAUACUGGUUCAAUUUACAUGGGUUCAAAUACAAUGUUUUACUUGUUCAAAUGGUUCUGCAAAAUUUAUUUUUCAAAACCAAUUAUGGCAAUCCAAGCUUUACUAGUUUUGGGCCCUAGAUUCAUUUUUCUCAGUUACGUAGACCACUGAACAGAACUCUUUUUUUUUCCCUAUUAUUUCAUUUUUCUUUUGUGUGAAAUUUUGACCACGAAAUAUAACUAGAAGCAUCUGGACCUGUCCAUAUUAAACACAUCUAUAGGAUGGAUUACUGAAUAAAAACGAGCUUACGUAUUUUGCUAAUGUGCCUUCUCUACAAAGUGGCACAAUUCAAAGGAAUUCUUACGCAGGUAGACAAACUAAAUUAAAAAAGAAAAAUUGAAAAGGGAGAUAUACCACCUUUUUAUUAAUUUUUUUAAUUUGGUAAGUCUUUUCUUUUUGAAAGGUUAGUUUGGUAAAUCAACUCAAGUAAUGAAGUAACAAAAGUAUAAGCUUUAGGGGUUAUAUAUUGAAAUCAGCAAAUUUACUGAAGAAAAAUAGGUCCUUGUGAGUACGAAGCAACCACUUGCUUCAGAAUCACAAUAAAAUCACAAAUAUUCAUUACUCACAAAUAAUAUUUAUUUCUGUUGUUCAACCUUUACAAACAUUGCUUGUGAAACUAACAAGCAUUAGCUUUAUAAUGACAUAGCACUUAAUAGCACACAUUUAUUCGUGCAUCCAUUUUAGAAGACACCAUAGCAACUUCAAACACGCUAAAUACUUAGAAGAUAUGUCUCUCUCUCUCUCUCUCUCUCUCUCUCUCUCUCUCUCUCUAUAUAUAUAUAUAUAUAGAUGGUUCAAGCAUUUUUGAUGUGAUGAGAUUCAAUGUCUUCAACCAUGUGAAGGAAAAAGUUGAGCAAGGUUCCUGGAUGUGGGGUAUCUUCCUUCAGCUUCUCAUAGUCGAGAGUCCAUGUAAUCAAACUUUCUUUGUCACCAAGAACAUCAACAUGGUAUAUGAUAGUGAAGGUCUUGUACAGCUCCAUGAGAUCUCCUUCAAUCAUCUUAAAUACGAUUGAUUUCUUUUCUUCAUUUAUGUCUUGAAUAAUCUGCUUUGCCACCCUAUCUUUCCCGUCUGUAAAAAUGAAAAGUAAAUCAAUUACAGACUCUCCAAUUCCUAGUCAACAUGCUGGUAAUCCAAAAACAAGGUUUGCGGAAUUCUUUCUUUUCGGUUUUUAGGGAUAGACAAUACUAUUCACACAACCAGGGAAGAAUUCUCGUUGUGAAACAUCUGGUAUAUCGCAUAAAAAACUUGAGAAAAGCAAAAGAAAAAAAAUUCUGUAGUAUUAAUUAAUUGAAUUCUUUACGAAGAUGGACUUCCUUAAUUAACCUCUGUAGUUUCCACAAUCAGAUUAUUGUCUUCGUAUAAAUACUAAUAAUAAUAUUAAUAAUACGGUUAAUAGUAAUAGAUCUAGUCCGUUUUUCAUUAAAACUUUUCCCGAGGCAGAUAUUAAGCUUUUAUCCUUUCUUUUUCCUGGCAAAUAAGUUAGAUAACUAAUUGUGUGCCAGUUCAAAGCAGGGAAAAACGGAUGGAGAGAGUUUAAAUCAACUUAGUCCAGAAGCUGACCAACACGCAACAAAAGCUAAAUGAAUAAAGGAAAAACAAGAAAAACUGCGGGGAAGAAAGAGCUUUGAAUAUUGAUUCCAUACCAUGGGUAUAAUGCCAGCAGAUUUUGGAUCCAACAGUUCCAAGAUCACCACCAAGCAAAGUAAACCCUUGAACUUUCUCAGGAGUCAUGGUGGCAAGAUGGUGUGGUCUUUUGCUGAAGACAUCAUGGAACACAUCUCCAGCAGGGCCAUGGAUGUUAGUUUGACCAAUCAUUUUACCUUUGAGCCCCAUUUUUUUUUCUGAGAAACUGAGAAGGAAAUGACCAAAUACUGCUGCAGCAAAAAAAUGCAAAGAAAUAUUGAAGGAAGUCUCAGUUGUGGUCUGCUAGACUAUCCCUCUGCUCCUUAUAUAGUAUAGAACUGAUGGGUGACUUCACCCCCCACCUCCACCCCCACCCUUUCUUUUUUUUAAUUGGGGUCUAUAAACCACGUAAGAGGAACCAAUUAUCUUCGCCGAAACUAUCAUUUUUUUCCCUAGUUCUGACAUUGUUAGAAACUUCUUUUUUUUUUUUUUAAUUCAUGAGAUGUUGUAUUGGUACAUCAGCCCUAAUAAAUGAUACUCAGCAUCCAUUAAAAUGUGAUUAUCCUCAUUUUCUAUUAAUCUAUAAUCAUAUUACAUCUAUAGUUUUGCACUUAGGGUCAACAGACUCGACAUCAUUCAUUUUUUUAAUGCCUACAACUAAGGUUUUCUUGUGGGCAACUUAAAUUUUAUUUUAAUCGAUAUCUCUUAGUCUCAUUUUUGCUUUACGACAAGAAUACUUCACCAACAUUGGAUAGAAUGAAGGCCAUCCUUGACAAAUUAUUUUGGAGAGAUCUACUUCUCUUGUCCAUGGCAAAAACGACUCUCCAGUAAUGACUCUUAGAAGUUGGUUAACACAAUAAAUGAUAUGAAUUCAUGAGUUUGGGAUAGUUGGCAAGUAGGUUGCUAAUGUCAAUAGGAGAUCGCAAGUUCGACUCCUGCACGUGGCGUCUUGAAAAACUCUAGUAAGAUGCUCAUCUCCGAAUAAAAGUUAGACUUUACGGAUGCUCCUUGGAUCGAAUCCGGAUUAGUCUCACGAAGAGUGGGAAUAUUGGGUGCUUAAAGCAAAAUAAAUAAAUAAAUAAAUGAUAUCCUCUUCUUACAUGGUUUGUGGUAGGUGAUAACUGAGGCAUACUAUUACCAAAUGGGAAAUAAACUGAUGCCAUACCACUUCACAUGAUUCACACAACACAUAAAAUUUCUUAAUUGUUUCCGGCACUUGGGCCAUAUUUCAUGGGUUGGUCAACUUGGGAUCCUUAUCAAAGAUUAAUUGGCAGACAAGUUAAGGUCUUAUUUGGAUUACAGUUAUCUUAAGAAUUUUUUUUACAUUUUGUGUGAACACAUUUAUGAAUCAUAUUUUUAUUUCAUAUAUAUCAAAUUAUUGCAACAUAUUUUUUUUUUUACAAAAACUUUUAAAAAUAGUAGUCCGAUUGGGUUCUUACCUAUUUAAGACUUCGAUGUUUCGCUACCAAAAAAAAAAAUACAAUUAAAAACUCGUCUUAUGUGGAUGCGGGGCACUGGUGAGUGAAGCAAGACCAACGCCGUGGUGUAAUAUGGGACAUUGACUUCAAAAUUUGGAAUUCAACUAUCGAACAUCAAAUUAAGCUCAUCCGGUCCAAUCAUUGUAAAUUGGAUGAUUGUUUUGGUUCAACCGCACCAACACUUAACCCAUUUUAUGUGCGCUGAGGAUGGCCCUCCCGACUCGGCCAUAUCGAGCUCAACCCUUUGUUAUUUGGGAUGGGUCGCCACAAGUCUUGGUUAUCUCGGCUAGACAUCGCAUACGGAUAAUUGAGGUGACUCCCACAUUCAUUGGUACCUCGGAUUGGUGCUGUGCUUGACACGACAUCCAAAGUCUUAUCAGAGAACUUGAUACUUGCAUGGCGGACAAGACAUCUGAUGGGACCUGUCUACUGCUCCAUCUUGUCAAAUCAGACUGGACAUGCUUAGUCCCUGCCAGGUCCUAGGAAGUUGAAACCCACUAUUCCUUCCUCCCACUUAUCCCUUAUAAAUACUACUCCUUCUACUUCAGGGGGAGGAGAAAAAAAAGAGUAAGGACUCUUCUAUUUCCAUUCCAUUAUUAACUUUCCAAGAAAACUAACUUAAUCAUCGAAGGUAUCCCGGGGGAAAAAGCCCCGCCUAGUGUGUGUAUCAGGAAAAGAACACCACCAAAUCACCUCAAUCAGGAAGAGGAGGCAUCUGGUCAGCUCGGCUUGAUCAUCCAGGAACAGUGUCUUCAUGUAUAUAUCAACUUUCUUUUCAUAGGAUGAAGACAAGUUUGCAGUAAAUACCAAAUACCCACCAGCUACACCUCACAUCACCCGUUUUAUGUAAAUGAACUUUCUUUUUUUUUAAUGGAAUGAAAAUAAUUCGGGAAUAAGUUUGCAGUAAAUACCAAAUACCCACCAACUGCACCUCGCAUCACCCCGUUUUAUGUAUAUCAACUUUUUUUUUUAAUGGAAUGGAAAUAAUUCAGGAAUAUGUAUUAGUUUUCUUACGAGUUUCAAUUGGAUACUCCUUAAGACAUCUAAAGUACACUAAAAUUAUCAUGUGAAAAUACAUAUUAACAUUUAUUAUACCUCCUAAAUUGCAACAUUUUUUUUUUUGAAUUAGUUAUACUUUUUAAAAAAAAAAACUAAUAUCUAGUACUUUUUUAACAAGUGGCCAAUAGACACUCGUCAAUCAAACCGUAGAAUUAGAUACCCAAAUCUUUUAACCCAAAAAAAGGUCCAAUUCAGUCGGGGGGCCAAACUAGGGAUGUAAGCGAGGCUACUCGUGAGUAGCUUGGUCAAUGGCUUGGUUUAAACUCGAUUAAACCGAGUUCGACCAGAGUCUCAAGCUACUCGAGUACACAUUCAAGUCGAGUUUGAGUCAGAAUUUUGCAACUCGUGGCUCGACGACUCGUCGAGCCAUAUAAUUUAAAUAAUAUAUAUAAUUUAAAUAAUAUAUGUAUUAUAAUUAUAAAAUGACAGUUAUGGGUAUAAUUUAUAUCGAAUUUACAAGUAAGGUAUCAAGUCAAAAAGCUUGAUUACUCGACUCGAUAAGGCUUGACUAAAGGUCGAGCCUUAUCGAGUCGAGUCUCGAGCUUUUAAAGAUUUUCUCGAGUCAAGCUCAAGUUUGAGAUUUUUCGACACAAUCGACUUCGAGUCGAGCUCGAGCCAAGUUAUUUAUAGGUCGAGUCGAGCUCGAGUAUAGCAAUACUCGAGCUCGACUCGGCUCGAUUACAUACCUAGGCCAAACAAGCUAUAUGUCACUCAUGUCUGGGGGGUUAUAUUCUCAGAAGUGAUUUUCAAGAUAUAGGCAGAGUAGUGGACUGUAUUAAAUUGGGACAUCGUAAUUCGUAAUUUUUAUCACAGCAAUCUUACUUGAAAUACAGGAAUUAAUGAAAGUUAGGUGCAGUGGACAUUAUUUAAUGUAUUUAAUAAACUAAUAGAGGCCCCUUUGAUUCUUGACUCAAUUCUUGACUAAUGGAUGCAAAGAAACAAGUCCCCAUAAGAGUUAGGAUAAAGUUCGGUACUAAAAAAAACUUUGUAGGAAAUUAAACCAAGCUAUUUUAGUAUUAGUCUCGUAAUUCUUUUUGUUGUCUUAUUUGUCUAGUUUUCAUAUUAAAUUAGGAAAUCUCAAUCAGUUUCCAAGUAAGUUUUGAUUUACAACUGUAUUUGUUUUAGGAAAUUUUGGAGUUUAUAAAUACUAACAGCUUAGUAAGUAAUUAUUUGAAGUGUUGAGUUGAGUUUUAAGAGUAGGUUUGAGAGAAAAUCUCAUAGUUGAGAUUUGUGAGUUGUUAUGAGCGAAAAGCUACGACUUGAUAUUUAUUAUUGUUGGGUUUUGAAUUAAAUAAAUUAUUGACUAUUUGUUUUCUUCCUCUUCCCACAUAUUUUUAUAUGUGUCAAAAUUGCUUCCGCUGUGCGCGAGGAUUUUUGGUGUGCUAACAAGUGGUACCAGAGCUUUAGACUUUGAUCCUAGGGCUUGUCCGCAAAAUUGGGGCUUAGAGCUUGUUCAUGAAAUUAAAGUAUGGAUCCCCAUUAUUUACAACAUUGUCUAGCUUUUAUCUUUGAUGGUAAAAAUAAUUUUGAGACUUGGAGGUCGAUGAUGAAGGAUUUUUUCAAAGAUAUUGGAAUUUGGAAUAUUAUCCAAAAGGGAUUCACGGAAUCUAUAACAGGUACAAAGUUAUCAAGUGAUGCAGUUAAACAAUUAGAGAGGAAUAAACAAUUAAAUUACAAGACAUUUUACUAUCUCAGUACCCAAAUCCAGUUACAAGUAGUGAAAAAUUCAUACAUGUAAAGACAGCUAAGGAGGCUUGGAAAUUUUUAAUAAAAUUUUAUGGCCAUAGUGGAGAAGAAAUUUGUGAUGAAGAAGAAAAAGAAUAUUUUGAUGAGACAAAGAAAGAAAAAAUUGUAGAAAUUGUGAGUGCACAUGAAGAUGAAAAAUUUGUGAUUCAAGAAGAAAUCUCAUGUGUGGUUGAGAAAAAAGGUGAAGUCAGUGAUGAAGUUAAAGAUGUGCCUCAAGAUCAUAGCAACGUAGAAACUGUAAAUUUUGUCGAGAUUGAUGAAAUUUUUGAAGAGAAAAAUCAAGUGAUGGACUUGGUUGAGAUCAAUUGUGAGGUGCACAAAUUAAUUGAAAAUUGUGAUACUACUAAAGUUGAUGCAAUUAUUAGUGUGAAACAAAAUAAAGGAAAAACAUGGUGAUGUUAAAAACAUUGAUAGCAACAACUAUGAUUUUCUGAUUUUGGGAGAUUUUCUUGGUGACAUGAAUGAAUUAAAUUAUGGAGUAUCUAAUGGAGUAUGGGUGAGUAUGAUUGAAUUUUUUUGAUAAGAGUGAUCAAACGAAGAAACUGUUUGAGAAGUACAAGUUUCAUCCACUAUUGCACGUGAAAAUGAAGUUGGACAUCAAUUGCAAAUUGGUGUUCCACAUCAUCUAUUCAGCGACGGAGUUUUUCAUGGAGAUUCAAGCUUAUGAUGGCAUUGGAAAUGACAACAUUAAGAGCUUGGUUUAAGGGAGGCAAUGUAGGAAAUUAAACCAAGCUAUUUUAGCAUUAUUCUCCUAAUUCUUUUUGGUGUCUUGUUUGUCUAGUUUCCAUAUUAGAUUAGGAAAUUUCAAUCAGUUUCCAAGCAAGUUUUGGUUUACAACUGUAUUUGUUUUAGGAAAUUUUGGAGUCUAUAAAUACUAACAGUUUAGUAGGUUAUUAUUUGAAGAGUUAAGUUGAGUUUUAAGAGUAGGUUUGAGAGAAAAUCUCAUAGUUGAGAUUUGUGAGCAAAAAGCUACGACUUGAUAUUUAUUAUUGUUGAAUUUUGAAUUAAAUAAAUUAUUGAGUAUUUGUUCUCCUGCUUUUCCCACAUAUUUUUAUAUGUGUCAAAAUUGCUUCCGCAGUGCAUGCGUUUUUUUGUGUGCUAACAAACUUCGAUAAAGCAUUGACUGGCUUUAGAAUACAAUUGCGCUACAUCACAAAAUGGAACAUAAAUAUAGAUGAGGCAUUUAAAAUUUAUGUCAUGUUAAAUAUUGGAGUAUUUCCCACUUUUUCUGCUAAUAGACGUGUCCCUGUUUGGAGAUUUGUCUAGCAAUGAAGGUUGUCAAGAUUUUUUUAUAUAUUUUUUUGGGGGUGGUCCUAGUUGGGUCACCGUCUGAGAUUUUCUUGGCCUGAAGAAAUCAAAUAUUGAUACCAUUAAGCCCAGAAGAUAUUUUUUUUCAAUUAAAAAGAUGCAACUUUGGUUGGUUUUCAAUGCAUUUUUCAUAAAUCUGCAAGCUAACUGAGUGUCCUGGGCAAAAAUUAAUUGGUCACCAAGUUUUAGCAUUCUUAUGACUUUAAUGUUUUCUGUGAUUUUGGAACCAGGUAACCAUACCAUCUUUCUGAACUUUUCUUUACCAAAAAAAAAAAAAAAAAAUUAUAGCAGGACAAAAUUAAUAGGAGUUCGUGUUAUUUGAAAAAAUCUAGUUUUAUGUGGAUCCGAGGGACCGGUGGGUGAAAGAUCAAUAUCUUGAAAUCAAUAUUGACUUCAAUGUCUUGAAAUCAAACAUGUAACAUCAAAUUUCCGUCAAUGUAACAUCAAAUAGGAGUUCGUGUAAUAUUUAUUUCUUUAACAUCUAUUACUCUGACUAUAAAAUAAAUUUUUAUACUUACUGUUGCGUAAUAAUUUGUUAUUGAAUCAUGAGAAAAUGAGUUUAAAACGAUUACCUAUUACCUAACAUUUCACUUCUAUUUAAAGACGAAAGACAAUAACAGUAAUAAUCAAUAAAAAAUAUUACAUUAUUGGGAAUAAUAUUUAAAAAAACAAUGGAAAUGCAAAUGUUUAAAGAAUAAAUAGUACCGGAAUUUCUAAUUUGAUGUGAAUGACAUUUUAAUCGCUGUAGUUGGGAUUUUGUCCUUCGAAUUUGAUGUGAGAUUUCUCUUUCGUCAACGCAAAGUUGAUGAAACUUUUCGAAUUGCAGUGUGGAAUCGUUGCAGUGUACGUUUCGUUUUUCGCAAUCUUGCGAGUUUAAAAUUUAAUUGUCGUUGAAAUGCUUGUAGGCGGGCAUGCUCCAUAGUGAAAUUAGGUUAAGGGCUAAGAUGGAUACCAUAAAAAAGUUGAAGGAGAUAAUAAGUUUUUGGAAAAAACGCAAAAAAGUUUUCUUAAUUGGAGUGAGCACGCAAGAAAGUUGAAUGAGGAUACUAUAUUUUGGAAGAAUUUUAAUUAGAGUGGAAUUCUUAAAUUGGAGGACUCUUAAGUGGAGUGGGAAAGUAGGAGAAAUGUAGGGAAAAUGUGAGCAUGAUGAUAGAAUUUUUAGGAGAUGAUUAGUUAAGAGAUAAACAUUUCUUAAAUUAGAGGACUCUUAAUUGGAGUGAGAAAUGUGGGGGAAAUGUGAGCAUGAUAUAGGAUUUGUAUUAUACUGAAUAACUUGAUAGUAUACUCAAAUCACCGAUGAGGUAAAAUUUGCCUAAAUAAGUUUUACAGUGUCCUAAUUCCUUGAAAAAAAAAUUGCUAAAUAGUCCUAAUUGGCACUACAAGUUACGGCAACGUGCCAGUGGCAUCUAGUCCUAAUUUUUUUUGGGGUCAAAAUCUAGUCCUAAUUGGUUCUGUUGUUUCUUGAUCAUGUUGUAUGCUCCUAAAUUCUACUUAGCGUGUAAUAAUUGAUAAUGGCUUAUUCUAUUCUUUCAUGGUAUUGGACAGGUGAAAAUCACACUAGAAGUGUGGUAAAUUUACUAUAAACUCCUAAUAUUAUCUCCCCUAAUUUUUGUAUAUUUUUUUAAAAAUUUAAACUUUUGUCAACAAUAGGCUGGUCAUGCAAAUAAAAAAAGGGAAUAGUCACACAUCUCAUUCUUUGCCCUAAAGAACUCAAUUUAGCAAAUUUCUUAGAAUAAUGGUGAAAAAAAUCACAACAAUGGAGGAACCUGGGUUUGUUUCCUUCUUUUUUCUUUUGGAUUUGAAACAGCCCUAUUCAGUUAUAAAAAAUAAAUAAAUUAGCCAUCUUACGUUCAUUAAGAAAGGGAAAAUUUUUUGGUCGCUGCACAUGGAUGUCCGGCCAUCCUAAAGGGAAAAAAAAACAAUUGUUCCAUUCUUGCGAUUUUUUUUAGGGUCUUAACUUUACAUUUAGUUGCACAUUUGUGAUUUUUUUGAAACGUGAUUGUAAUUUGUAAAGGUCAUUUGUAAGAGUGGCUAUAGGAUUAGUUUAGUGAUAAAUAUUUCUUAAUUAUAAAAAUGUAAAAUUGUAUUAAAAUAGCAUACGAAUGAACAUUUGUCUUUAAUUAAGGAGAAAAAAAGAUUUAAAGUAUAAAUAACAAACUAUAAACGGUUUAUAAAGUAGAUAGCGGGAAAGUUUGAAAUUUUAAAUUUGACUGGUGAUAAGGUUAGUCAUAACCCACUAUUUUUUAUGUAUUAAAAUAAAUACAAAAAUCUAGAAAAAAGAAUAAGAAGUUGGAAGCUAUUGAGAGUCUCUCUCCUAAAAAUCCACUCUGCAAUACAUAUAGAUAUAGAUUUUCCUAUCAUUCUGCUAAUAAACUUGUCCCUAUCUAAACCUAGAGAAAUGUUCACCAAGUCCUACUUGGGUGACACAGAUUUUUCUUGGCUAGUAGAAAUAGACAUUGAUAAUUUGAGAGGUUAAAUGAAAAGUGUGAAUAUCAAUUUCCAAUAUAAGGGUAUUUUCCUAUCUUUCUACUAAUAGACUUGUCCUUAUCUAAACCUAGAGAUAUGUCCACCAAGUCUGUCUUAGGUCAGAGUCUGAGAUUUUCUCGGUUAGCAGAUAUCGAUGUUGAUAGUUUGAUAACAUUAAGUCCAAAAGAUUAGCUGGGCUUGGCUCUGAUCACUAUUUACGGCAUGUGGUGAUUCAUGAUCCGUGGUCGCAAUCAAAGUCAAACCCAUCUAAAUUGUUUAUUAUAAAAAAAUUAUUAAUUACAAAAGAUUUUUUUUUUUUUUAAUAAAGGAUGCAUUCUUUGGUUGGUUUUCAAUGGAUUUUACGUAAAUCUGCAGGCUAAUUGAGGUCCCUACCAAAUAAAUGGAAAGAAAAUAGUCCGUACCAUGUUAUGUUAAUUUCCAUGGCUUGGAGGGGUAGUUUUGACACCCACUCUACACAUGAUUCAUGGCUUAAUUAAUUUGAGUUUACAGAUAUCCACUCAAAUCAAUUUGAUAUGACAGGAGUAGGGCUGGCAACCCCGUUGUCAAAUAACUCCCCCCGUCCCCCGUCCCCCGCCCCAUCCCCUGUCCCUUGCCCCCAUCCCUCACCCCGUUUCCCCCGCGGUCCCCCGUGAGUAAAGAAAUCAAUUUACAAAAAGUAAAACUCUUCUCAUAUAUCCAAGCAUUUUUGAGAACUAACAGGAGAGAGGAAGAAUUCCCAAACACUAACCAAAAAUACCAAGAACAGUUAAAAUCCAGAAAUAACAAAAGGCAAAGAUCAAUGGAAAACAUAAAAAAAAAAAUCAGCAAAAUGAAGGGAAAAACAAACCCAUGGUUGUUGAAACUGCUUAUAAACGAUAUCAUAGGUCAUGGAAAGAAUUCUUGUUCCAUUAGACUCUCGUAUUUACAUUUUCAUUGAGGCUUUUAGACAAACAUCUUAUAUAUAUAUAUAUAUAUAUAUAUAUAUAUAUAUAUAUAUAUAUAUAUAUAUUUUAUGCGGGGGACGGGGCGGGUGUACGUUGCCCCCAUCCCACGCCCCGUUUUAAGGCGGGGGUAAAUAUUUCGCCCCCACCCCGCCCCCACCCCAUUUCUACCCCGCGGGGUGGGCACCCGCCCCCAUUGCCAUCCCUAGAUAGGAGACAAAUGAUGUAUCACUUGAUUUUUUUUUUGUGUAUAUAUCAUAUCUUGAUUUUUUUAUGUGUAUAUGUCAUAUCACGAUGCUAUUGCAAAUUUUUGUUUAAAAAUUACUUGCAUAUACAAAUUCAUCCGUGACGUGCAUUUGGAUUAGUCUAUGAGGAUAUGGAUCCAAUUAGACCGACAGUUUCCUUUUCUUUUUUUUUUGUCCAAUCAAUGUUGUAGCGUCUCAAUCCCUAGGGUUCUUAGUGAUAAAUCAAAUUGACAAAUUAUUAAUGUAACACAUCACUAAAGUUGUGCAAGUUGUAACCAAACCAUUUAAUAUUCUCAGACUGGCAACAUCAACUGGUUAAACUUUUAAUUCAUCUUCUUGCUAGGAGACAAAUUUUGCUUUUCUUCUACAAUUCUAAUAGAAAUUUAAUUUAAUUUAUCCACUAUAGAUAGUCAUACAAACUGAGCUAACAAUAAAAAAAGGAAAAUACUGCAGAAUGUACCAUCUAAAACCACAGAGAUAAAGAGAUUCCGCAGCUCAGUCACAACAUUGCACUUUUACCAUGUUAUUGUAUAAUUUUAAGAAUUAGUGUUUUAUACACCAUUAGCGUAAAGUUUUUUUUUUUUACAUUAAGAGGUACAGAUAUAUGAUACAUAGACAAAACGUGAAUUUAAAGUUUGAAUAGUGAUGAAGUGGCAUUCAUCUAAAAUAAACCUACUUGUGUAAAAGAAAAAAAAACUUUACACUAAUUGUGUAUAAAAAUUGGUAGCAGCAACUAUGAUUUUCUGAUUUUGGGGGAUUUUCUUGGUGACAUGAAUGAAUUAAAUUAUGGAGUAUCUAAUGUAGUAUGGGUGAGUAUGAUUGAAUUUUUUGAUAAGUGUGAUCAAAUGAAGAAACUGUUUGAGAAGUACAAGUUUCAUCCACUACUGCACCUGAAGAUGAAAUUGGACAUCAAUUGCAAGUUGGAGUUCCAUAUCAUCUAUACAGUGACGGAGUUUUUCAUGGAGAUUCAAGUUCAUGAUGGCAUUGGAGAUGACAACAUUAAGAGCUUGAUUUAAGGGAGGCAAUGUAGGAAAUUAAACCAAGCUAUUUUAGCAUAUUAUUCUCCUAAUUCUUUUUGGUGUCUUGUUUGUCUAGUUUCCAUAUUAUAUUAGGAAAUUUCAAUCAGUUUCCAAGCAAGUUUUGGUUUACAACUGUAUUUGUUUUAGGAAAUUUUGGAGUCUAUAAAUACUAACAGUUUAGUAGGUUAUUAUUUGAAGAGUUGAGUUAAGUUUUAAGAGUAGGUUUAAGAGAAAAUCUCAUAGUUGAGAUUUGUGAGCGAAAAGCUACGACAUGAUAUUUAUUAUUGUUGGAUUUUGAAUUAAAUAAAUUAUUGAGUAUUUGUUCUCCUGCUUUUCCCACAUAUUUUUAUAUGUGUCAAAAUUGCUUCCGCUGUGCAUGCGAUUUUUUGUGUGCUAACAAACUUCGAUAAAGCAUUGACUGGCUUUAGAAUACAAUUGCGCUACAUCACAAAAUGGAACAUAAAUAUAGAUGAGGCAUUUAAAAUUUAUGUCAUGUUAAAUAUUGGAGUAUUUCCCACUUUUUCUGCUAAUAGACGUGUCCCUGUUUGGAGAUUUGUCUAGCAAUGAAGGUUGUCAAGAUUUUUUUAUAUAUAUAUUUGGGGGUGGUCCUAGUUGGGUCACCGUCUGAGAUUUUCUUGGCCAGAAGAAAUCAAAUAUUGAUACCAUUAAGCCCAGAAGAUAUUCUUUUCAAUUAAAAAGAUGCAACUUUGGUUGGUUUUCAAUGCAUUUUUCAUAAAUCUGCAAGCUAACUGAGUGUCCUGGGCAAAAAUUAAUUGGUCGCCAAGUUUUAGCAUUCUUAAGACUUUAAUGUUUUCUGUGAUUCUGGAACCAGGUAACCAUACCAUCUUUCUGAACUUUUCUUUACCAAAAAAAAAAAAAAAAAUUUAUAGCAGGACAAAAUUAAUAGGAGUUCGGGUUAUUUGAAAAAAUCCUAGUUUUAUGUGGAUCUGAGGGACCGGUGGGUGAAAGAUCAAUAUCUUGAAAUCAAUAUUGACUUCAAUGUCUUGAAAUCAAACAUGUAACAUCAAAUUUCCUCCUAUGGAGAGGUUGUUUAGGGGGAGUUUCUUCUCUCCUAGAGAUUUUUAGUGAGAGUUUUUUCUCUCCUAAAAAUUUCUGGUGAGAGAUUUUGUGGUUAGUCUACCUCUUAUAUUAGAUAUAAGUUUUUUUUUUUAGAUUUGAUUGUCAGAUCUAAGAUUUCUUAGAUCUACCCUAUCAAAUCUCACUUUAACAUAUGAAUUUAAAUAAGUUCAUUAGCAGAUUUAAAAGGAAGCAAUUAGUAGUAUAGUUGGAAGCAUACACGGAUGAUCUUAAGAUCAUGAAUAUUUUAUCUUUUAAUUUUUUUUAGAAUUUCAACGUUAUAUGCUAUUGACUUUCUAGAUUUGUAUAAUUGAUAUAAUUUCUGUCAUUAACGCAGAUUUAAUGAAAUGAUGCUGUUUUUUUAUUUAUUAAAAAUAAAUGUAACAUCAAGUUGAGCUCAUGCAGUCCAAUCAUUGUAAAUAUCAUUGUAAAUUGGAUGAUGCUGUUGGUCACCGCUCAACACCUCAACCAUUUUUAUUUCUUUAAUUCUUAUAGAAUGAAGACAAUUUAGCAAUAAAUACCAAACACCAACCAACGCCCCUCACCGCACCCCGUUUUCCGCACAUCAACCUUCUUUCAUGGAAUGAAGAUAAGUUAGGAUUCAAUAACCAUAUCCUUUAACCGACGAAAAAAAAGAAAGAAAAAAAGAAUCCGAUUUAGUCCGGGGGGCCAAAGAAGCCAUCUGUAAUUCAUAACUUAUAUUCUCAGAAGUGAUUUUAAUUGUCAGAAGAUCAAAAGAUGGGCAGAGUGGUGGACUGCAUUUAAUUGAGAUGCUGUAAUUCGUAAACUUUAUAAGGGCACAAGGGUUAUGAUAAAAUUUGGUACCCAAAAAAAAAAGAAAAAAACUUCGAUAAAGCAUUCGUGGGCUGUAUUUUAGCAUUUUCCACUCGCGCUACGUCAGAAAAUGGAACAUGAGCAUAGAUGAGGCAUUAAAAACUUAUGUUACUUGAAAUAUUAGGAGAAGUGAUAUCUGCACUUUCAAAUUAGUCUCUAGUACUGUUUAGAGACUAUACUCUUAACGAGUAAAUUGAAGUGCAAAAAAGGUUAAAUGAGGAGUGCGAAUAUCAAUUUUCAAUACCAGAAUAUUUUCCUAUCAUUCUGCUAAUAAACUUGUCCCUAUCUAAACCUAGAGAUAUGUCCACCAAGUCCUACUUGGGUGACACAGAUUUUUCUUGGCCAGUAGAAAUAGACAUUGAUAAUUUGAGAGGUUAAAUGAAAUGUGCCAAUAUCAAUUUUCAAUAUAAGAGUAUUUUCCUAUCUUUCUAUUAAUAGACUUGUCCUCAUCUAAACCUAGAGAUAUGUCCACCAAGUCCUACUUGGGUCACGGUAUGAGAUUUUGUCGGUUCGGAGGAAUCGAUGUUGAUAGUUGGAUAACAUGGAAGUCCAAAAGAUUACGUGGGCUUGGCUUUGAUCACUAUUCACGGCAUGUGGUGAUUCCUGAUCCGUGGUUGUGGUUGCAAUCAAAGUCAAACUCAUCUAAAUUGUUUAUUAUAAAAAAAAUUAUUAAUUACAAAAGAUUUUUUUUUUUUUUUUAAAUAAAGGAUGCAUUCUUUGGUUGGUUUUCAAUGGAUUUUACGUAAAUCUGCAGGCUAAUUGAGGUCCCUACCAAAUAAAUGGAAAGAAAAUAGUCCGUACCAUGUUGUGUUAAUUUCCAUGGCUUGGAGGGGUAGUUUUGACACCCACUCUACACAUGAUUCAUGGCUUAAUCAAUUUGAGUUUACAGAUAUCCACUCAAAUCAAUUUGAUAUGACAGGAGACAAAUAAUGUAUCACUUGAUUUUUUUUUUUUUUUUGUGUAUAUAUCAUAUCUUGAUUUUUUUUUAUGUGUAUAUAUCAUAUCACGAUUGCUAUUGCAAAUUUUUGUUUAAAAAUUACUUGCAUAUACAAAUUCAUCCGUGACGUGCAUUUGGAUUAGUCUAUGAGGAUAUGGAUCCAAUUAGACCGACAGUUUCCUUUUCUUUUUUUUUUGUCCAAUCAAUGUUGUAGCGUCUCAAUCCCUAGGGUUCUUAGUGAUAAAUCAAAUUGACAAAUUAUUAAUGUAACACAUCACUAAAGUUGUGCAAGUUGUAACCAAACCAUUUAAUAUUCUCAGACUGGCAACAUCAACUGGUUAAACUUUUAAUUCAUCUUCUUGCUAGGAGACAAAUUUUGCUUUUCUUCUACAAUUCUAAUAGAAAUUUAAUUUAAUUUAUCCACUAUAGAUAGUCAUACAAACUGAGCUAACAAUAAAAAAAGGAAAAUACUGCAGAAUGUACCAUCUAAAACCACAGAGAUAAAGAGAUUCCGUAGCUCAGUCACAACAUUGCACUUUUACUAUGUUAUUGUAUAAUUUUAAGAAUUAGUGUUUUAUACACCAUUAGCGUAAAGUGUUUUUUUUUUUUUUUACAUUAAGAGGUACAGAUAUAUGAUACAUAGACAAAACGUGAAUUUAAAGUUUGAAUAGUGAUGACGUAGCAUUCAUCUAAACCUACUUGUGUAAAAAGGGAAAAAAAACUUUACACUAAUUGUGUAUAAAAAUUAAUCCCAAAUUUUAAUCAUAGUCCUUAUAACGUAAAUUAGAUUAGAAAAGCACUUGCAUAUUUCUCUAUCAUAUGCUUUACGCUGAACUAGUCUUUUGAGCAUAAUCAUUAUGCUAAAAAUUUCUUGACAACAUAAUAGGGAAACCUGUGGAGUUUGAUGAACCAACGGAGUUGAUGAAAAAGAAAUAUUGGUCUCUUUGUCAAGCUCUGCAGAAUUACAACGAAAUUAACAGCAGAGACAGUGUGUGAUCCUUUUACAUGGCUUUCUAGUAAAUAUAACUCCUCAAACACAGCAAUAAAAAUUUCCUUACAACUUCGUAAAAUGUAAUAAAACUACCAUUUGUGGGUCAAUUUCACGAGUGUGCCUAAAAUAAUACCAUAAAAUUAGUUAGUGCGAUAAUAGACAUGAUGUGCUAUUUAUCGUAUUAAUUGCCUUUUCUUUUUUUUUUUGGUACAGGAUAAAAGGACAAAUCGUUAAUGACUAUCUUGUAGCUCUCUACAUGUUCUGAAUGAAGGAUAAUAAUAUCUUCUUUUGUGUGAAAAGAAAAAAAUGAUAAAUCUUAAGGAUGCAUAUGCUAAGUUCUAUGAUUCCCCUAAUGCCAAAUAUUUGACAGAGACUAAGCCAACUAGUAAUUAAAAUAAGUUGAUCUUGAGGGUAAAAUGGAGGUAUCAAAAAUAUUAGUUUCCUAGAAGUUCUAUGAAAAUUUCCCUGUUUAAGGUAAAAAAAAAAAAAAGAACCAUGUUUAUUCAUCUACAUAGCCUCAUCAUAACUUCAAUAUAGAAAUCAUUUGUCAUGUGUCAACAAUUCAUGGUAGCAUGUGUUGUAUCAGUUACAGGACUUUAGGGCAAACUUUAGCUUCCUAUAAAACAUUUAUGAUUCAAUGACUUUGGUGCACUCCCAAAAAAGAUGUUCAAAGUAAUUUGAUUCAGCUUCGUCUUGAUUAGAUCGAGGAACUCAAGCCAAUAUGCGCCAACUCCCGAGUUGGACUUUCUGGUCACUUCAAUGUUGCCCUAAUCCAAAUCUUUACACUAGGAAAAUGAGUUCAACCAAAAAAAUAUUGCAGUAUUAAACUGGCCUCUGAGAGAGGAAUCGAGACAUAAAGUUUUCAAUACGUAGAAAUUCAUUAAACAGCUGAUAAUAAUUACAUCGAUCGAUUAUUGGACCACACCAUUAACAUAUGAUAUUAUCAUAACUCAUAGGAGCAAGCACACAAUCUAUUUCAGGUUUGCACAUGGUACAACCUUCGUCGAGCUUACAUUUAUUCAAUACACUAACUGGAGAUCUUGGAACUUCCAAACACACAUGUUCGUGCCAUCUAUGAUGACAAUUUAGCACCCCUUCAUUUGAGAUGGUGAGUCUCAAUAUCCUUAGUGACAUGAAGGCAAAAGUCCAUCAGAGUAUUUGGAUCUGGGAUAUUGGGAUUCUUUUUCUCAUACUCGAAGGUCCAUGUAACCAAGUUGCUUUUGCCAUGGGCAUCAACAUGAACUGUUAUGAUGAAGGUCUUGUAUAACUCCAGCACAUCUCCUUCAAUCACCUUGAAUGUGAUUGACCUCUUUGCCUCAUCUAUGGCCUGGAUAACCUCUUUGGCCACUUUCUUUUUUCCAUCUAAAAAAAUUGAAGAAUUGAACGAGAAGAGUGUGAAACUCUAAAGGUAAAAAAAACAAAAUUCAGUAAUUAUUAAGGCCAAGAAAAAUAAAUUUUCCUAGUGGCCUCGCAACCAUGCAAAGAUUGUUAACAUUUGACCUUUACUUGAACCUUUCAAUUUUAUCUUUCAAUUUUUUUAGCAGGUGAGGAUGAAAUUUAAGAAAUUACAAGAGGGACGAAGGUGUUGAACAACCAGGCACCAAGAUCAUUUGUGAGUUGAAAACUUUGCUCAAAUAGAUCUAAGCAUUAUACAUGCAUGCAGAAUCAUAAACAAGAAAAGAUGGAAAUAUUUGAAAGGAACAACGAAAAGAAGGAAAAUCAGGAGGAAAUUCAGAUACCGUGAGUAUAAUUCCAGAAGAUGACAGAUCCGACGGUUCCCCAAUUACCAUCAUGCAGAUCACAACCUUGAAUAUGAGUAGGGCUCAUCGCAGAUACAUGGUGUGGUCUGUGCCUAAAAAUUUCAUGAAACACAUCUCCAUCGGAUUUUAUCUCGAUUUGGUUAACGAGCUUACCAGUAAGACUCAUUUCUUCUAGCUUUUUUAAGCCAAGAAAAUAUGACUACUGAAGGAAGAGGGGUGAGGGAAAGCUAAAGACUGAAGGGCCUUUUAUAGUUGAGUUGUCUGCAUUACUUAAACGCCAAAACGUCAUAGUGUACUAAGGGCCAGCUGUGUUUGUCUCGUUUGAGUUAAAGCUUGAAUUGGUUUAAGGAGCCAUUUGGUUUGAAUUUCACAGUCACUGUCAUUAUCUGUAUCAUAGGGUGAUCAAUGAUAAUAGAUUUUGAUGAAAACCCAUAGUAUAUUUAUUAAUGUAAAAUGGAUUUUAUAAUUUAUAAUUUAUAUUAUUUCUUUUUUUUUUUUCCAUUUGUUGGAACCAGUAGAAACGAUGGCAUUUUUUUUCUUAUUUUUACAUUUAAAGAGAAAAAGAUAAAUAAUUAAAAUGGCAUUUUGUUUUCCAAUUUUUAUAUUUAAGGAGAAUAAGAUGGGUAAUUAAGAUGAUUUCCUAGUGAAGGUGAUUAAUCACAAAACCCAUAGAAGAGGCCUAUCAUUCCCAUUAGCCUCAAACAAACAUCAUAUAUGGGUGUAAUUGAAUUUGAAACUUGUGUUGAAACCCAUUUACUGAACAUCCCCUAAUUUUUUAAUGGAUUGGGUUGUGUGCCUUAUCUAAAGACCAAAAAGUCUCAACUAGGGUAUUCACGGUAAAGAUUUUGUUGCAAAAAUUUCAAUAACAAAAAAUGUAACUGACAAAAUGUGUUUUGCGCAUUACAUUUAUCUAUUUCUCAUAACAUAUUGCAUAGACAUCAUUAGGAAUGCAAACGAGUCGAACCGAAUCAAGUUUCGGCCUAAUCGAGCCAAGGCUCAACAUAAUUUUAUGAAACUUCAACUUGAGUUUGAGUUCGAGCUUAAAAAAUAAAAAAUAAUUUUAUUUUUUAAAAAUGAAUAAAAUAAUAAUUUUUAAUAAAUAAUAAAAUAUUAGAAAUAUUUAUAUAUAAUUUUAUUAUUAAAAUAAAAAUAAUAAAAAAAUAUACAUAUAAUCAAGCUCGAUCCUGCUCACGAAUUAAUGAGUUACCAUUCAAUGGGGGUAUUUUUGGAGUUAACCCCAUUAAUGAGUUAACUCCAAAAAUACUCAACAAAGAAUGGUAAUACUUGGGCAUUGAUUGGGAUCCCAUAAAGUGGAAAUAUAUUUUUUUUUGGUAACAUCAAAGUUAGAUCCGGACCGGAUUUGUCGGUUCGAUUGGUCCGACUGUGAAUUGAUUUUUUUUUUCAAAUUGGUUUGUAAUAUAAAACUGAUUUGAUAAAAACCUAUCGAAACCACAAAAAAUCGGUUAAACCAGUGACCUAAUUCGACUGGUUGAUCCGGUUCUUAAACUUUUCUUUUUUCUUUUCCCUAAACAUAAUUGAGUUACCUAAAUUGUAAUAUUUUCAUUUAUUAAUAGAAAUAAAAAAAGUCACCCAUUUAGUGUAAAUAUCAAAAUCACUCGCUUUCUUAAAUGAUUUUUAAAUCAAGAUGUAUUCAUUCCUAUGAUCUCAUUAAUUUAGCAUUGUGAUUCCAAUUUGCAUUAAUUUGUUUUAAUUUAGUUUUUCAAGUAGUUUUGGAGAAUGGACAUAUUUUAACCAAGAAUUUACAUUUUUAUAUAUAAUUAUUAGGUGUAUAUUUGAUUGCAUGUCUAAUAUUUUUGGAACAUUUUUCAUGAUUGACGAAAUAUAACCAAGAACUUAAUUUCAAUAUUUCUGAAACUUAUAAAAAUAUAAAAUAAUUAUAACAUCAUGCUGAUAUCAGCAAAUUUUUUAGAACGGUUCAAUUGAUCUAACCAGUUGACCACCUCUGAUCAAAUAGUUUAGCCGAGUCGCUAUCGGGUCCGAGUUUAACAACAUUGGAUAUCAUUUGGUGGUGCAUGAUUUACCAAUCCAUCAACCAAUUACGAGCACUACAACUAAAGUACUUUAUUUUCUUGGCAUGCAUUGCAAUUGCACUUUUAUUUUAUUUUGUUUUGUUUCUGGGAUAUAAAUUAUCCUCAAAAGUUGUACUUUAUUCUAGUUGGAGUAAAAUAUCAUCAGCGCUAAUAAAAUGAUUUUUGUUCUCUUUUUCUUUUUUUUCCCUCUUCCCCACGAAAGCAAGUAAAUUUAUAUUUUAGAGAGAGGCAACAAAAUCUCCCUGUAUUAUUCCAUUUCUUAUUUUUAUUCAACUUAGAUCUAGCACAAUGAAAUCAAAGAUAUGAAAAGAUACAUAUAAAAAAAAAGCAAAAAAAAAAUAGAGGGAAAGACAAAUCUUGCAUUAUGAAAAAAGUAAACAAAUAAUACUAAUAUAAGAACAAUAAGAAAAGGAAUAACAAAAUAGAAGGCUUAUUGGACUUUUCAUAGAUGUAUUGGGUUAAUAUUAAUAAUUUUUUUUUACAUAGAUAAUUUGACAUUUGAGCUACUAGUCUUACCCAGAUAAGUUCCAAAGUAUGUUAAUUUUGGACUUGAAUCAUUUUUACAAUCCCAUAUUCUAUACAAAGCCAGAAAGAGUGAAUUCUUUGAAUCAGUACCUAGUAAUUUUACUUAAUUAACUCCAUGUGUAUAAUUUGGAACCAAUGUAACUAUAACUGUCUGAAUAACAAAAUAAUUAGUUUAAUGUUUAUAGUACAGUGUAAUCUUAACACAUGAUCGGCAUUCUCCAUUAUUUUCACGGAGUCGUGCCAACAACACUAGGCACUCCAUCUUUUACUAUCCCUGCAUUUUCGUGAACUUUGUCCAUGAAUAAGAAGCUUGCAUGGUGUUGGAAAUUAAGAGUUAAAUGUCAAUGUCACUACAUUUCAUGAAAAAAAUACCAUCGAAGCUAAAACCUCCAGGAUGAGGAUUUUAUGUAAGUAAUGAAAUCGGUUUUAUGCAUGUAAAAAUACCAUAACAACACUUAGGCAUAAAUUAUAAAGCCCUCGUUUUAUUUAUGUUGCACAAAGAUUCUUAUAACAGAUGAUAGGCUGGUUACAGAAUUACUAACAUACCAAAACAGUACAACAAGAAAACACACAAUUACUUGAGUCUUUCACAUUGGACAUGCCACAAUCUUUUUCAUCAAGUUCACAUCCUUCACAACAUACGCUUACAAAUAUAGCAACUUGUAAUCAAAUUUAUGCUUCAUAUGAUCAUGAUUCGGAAAUCAUAGGCCCUUCAUUUGAGAUGGUGAGUCUCAAUAUCCUUAGUGAGUUUGGUGGCAAGGUCUGCUAUAGUUGUUGGAUCAGGGACGCUGUGAUUCAAUUUCUCGUACUGGAGGGUCCAUAUAACCAAGUUGUUUUGACCAUGAUUUUCAACCUGAACAGUAAUGAUGAAGCUCUUGUACAACUUCAACAGGUCUCCUUCAAUCACCUUAAAUGUGACCGACUUCUUUUCCUUGUCUAUAGACUCAAUUAUCUCCUUCGCCACCUUCUUUUGUCCAUCUGAAAAGACGUGAACAGUGGAAUUAAUUAACCAAUAGAUUAGGUACUGGAUUUUGAAGCCGAAAGGCAUAAUUUUAAACGGCCAAAGUCUCGCCAGCGCAACUUUAAGCAACGUAGACUUGUUGAGUAUUUAAGAAUGCUUGACCAACUUAUAAAGCAAUUUAAUGCUCUUCACGACUUGCAUGUAGCAGAUAUAACAAGAAAGAUUGACAGAUUUGAACUUUGGAAGGAAAACCCCCAAAAAAAAAAAAAGUAUUAAAAUGGUAAAAGUAAAUCGAUGGAAAAAAUGGAAAGAAUCAGAAACUUACCGUGAGUAUAUGUCCAGAAGAUGAUAGAUCCUACUGUUCCCCAAUCACCAUGAUGCAGCUCACAACCAUGAACGAUAUCAGGGCUUAUGGAGGACAUUUCAUGUGGUUUGUUUUUGAAGAGCUCAUGAAACAUAUCUCCAUUGGACUUAAUUUCGAUUUGGAAAACCAGUUUACCAGUUAGACUCAUUUCUUCAGAGAUCUAUUAACCAAGAAACGAAGACUGAUGAAAGCAAGGGGUUAAAAAUGGUUUAGGCAUGAAUAAUUGAACAUGAAUUUAUAUCAAUGAGAAAAAAUGCUGUUUUCUUUUCGUUUGUUUACAUGUCGCUUUCGCACUAUCUUACUUCAUAGAUCAUGCACUAGUGCAAUGUACUAUCAUUUAUUAGAUACUCUGACUAUUUUAGAAUAUAAAAUUUAUAUGGAUAUUGUUAUAGAAUUAGUCUGGGGGCUAUUUGAUUCUAUACAAGAAGUUUUGCAAUCCGUACUGUUAGUGAUGUAGAUUUUUCGCUUUAAUCCAAGUAAAACAUACAAAGGAUUCUUCUUCUUGCUUGGGAGAACAAAAAGUUCUAAAGAGAAAAAAAAAAAGAGCAAAAGCCCUUUUGCCAUCCCCAGUUCGGAAGUCUUAGAGCUGCCCAUGGAGUAUGGAAAAUACUUAGAUUAGCAGUGCAGCCAUCAAAGAUCCAUAUCACCAAUUGUGACUACUUACAUGGCAACAUGGUUUGUAAAUAAGCUCAUAAAUCGUGGAUCGUUCAAGAAUUUUCCAUAAAGUAUAGAGGCUUUGAAUAGGCGAGCAGUAAAUCCUAGCCUAUGAAAUUUGGACAGGAUAUACAGUUCAUAUGUUUAAUUGUAGCAAAUAUAUCUUUCAUAAGUACUUCAUUUAGGUUAUGUGUAUAUGGUAUGGGAACUAAAAUUGCCAUUUACACACUUUCAUGAAUUAUUUUCAACUUUGGUGACGCUCGAUUCAAUUUGUAAACGAUUUUUAUGAUCAAACAAGGUAACUUUUUGUUUCGAAGAAAUAGAUCUGCAAUCUUACUAAAAUUCUUUGGUCAUACUUAAACUGUUAAUCUAGUAUAGGGACUUUUUAAUGUAUAAUACAGGGUUCAAGAAAUUAUGAACAAAAAAAUACAAGUGAUCGAAACAAAUAAAGCACUUACAAAAAAAUAAAUUAGGGCAAAAUAUAUUUUACACCCUUAUGGUUUAGCGAUUUUUUACAUAACCCCAAUAUAGUUUCAAAAGUUAUACAUAAUCCCUUUAUACUUUAAAUUAAAGUAUCAAGAUGACGGAAUUUGCAUUCCAUAAUGGAACCAAUUAAAAUGUCAAAAGUAUUCCUAUGUAAAGUUAAAAAUUAUUUAUUAACUAUGAGGGGAUUAUAUAUAUAUUUUGAAAACCAUAAAAGGGUUAUAUGAUAAAAUAGUAAACCAUAAGGGAAUUAUAUGGUAAAAUAUAAAACCACAUAGGGUUAGAGUGUCAUGCAUAUUAUGUUUAUAUAUUUUGGUAACUUCAACCAUUUUUUUUAAUAAAGGUAAUUUUGGCAUUUUCAUGGGUUCCAUUACAAAUGAUUAUUUUUGUUAUUUUGAUACUUUAAUCAAAACUAUAAGGGGAUUAUAUAUAACUUUUGAAACUAUAGGGAGGUUAUGUGAAAAUUUGCUAAAUCAGAGGGAAAUAAAGUGUAUUUUGUCCAAUAAAUUAAGUAAAAGUUAAAUAAGUAAAAUAUUUAGAAGCCAAGGAGGCUUUUUGCCUAAUGAUUAAGAUUAAAACUCUAGAAAUUAGAAAUCUUAAAUUAAGAUCUCCCAUCUCUCCCUCACGUCUUAAUUCUCACCCCUCCCCAGAUAAAAAAAAAUUAAAAAAAUAUAAAAUGUCAUUCCAUGGAAGUAAUUUGUUUGGAGCUCAUUCUUCCCAUGAUAGAGUUGAGCUUGUGAAUCAGUGAUGCAUUACAUCUCUACACUCCCCAACACCUUAUUGUUUAUCUAUAACAGUCAUGAGUCUUUAUCUAGAGACAGCAGGAAGAAAGACAAGUUAGAAGAUUUGCCAAAAAUGAAUAUUAAACCUUGUAAUAUUCAGCAAGGGGUGCAAAAUAUUCAGAGAUGCAUGAUUGACAAUACAUAACUUGUAAAUGCAGAAUUCCAUUAAGCAAAUAUUAUCAGUAAACUCAUAAUUAAGCAAAUAAAGUAACAAUGUGUCCACCAUCCUCAGAUCUUUCUGGGCCACAAUAUAAUCGCCCCUCGAAUAUGAUAGAUUACGAGUUAUUAAUUAUUCUUAAACUGUUUAUGAGUAUAAUAUUCUCGUAGAAGUUACUGUGCAUUAGGAUAUAAUUAUCCACUCAAUUCACUGUCAAUUGAAUUUUCUGCUUUCCAAUUGAUUACAGAAUUUACAUAUACAAAUCACAAAUAAUUUUUAUAAGUUUGUAGCGAUAAACACUAAGGUGCCUCGAUGAUAUGGCCACUCUUUGGAAGGAUCAUCUCCAAGAUAGGAGAGUACAGUCUUAUUGCCAUUGACUAGUCAUGAUCACCAAGAUGAACAAUACAUGGGCUCUUAUUUAAUUGAUAAGAUCCAACAGCUUUAUAUGUCUGCCCUUCAAAUUAAUUAAUGUACCCAAACAAUUAAAUGGUAGUUGCUAGGCAUACAUUUGUGGCUAGUAUACAUGGCAAUGGGUUGGCUGAAAAUCUGUGAUAUAUAUAUAUAUAUAUAUAUAUUCCAAUUACAAUUUGUUGAUACAUGCCUGCACAAGUUUAAAAAAUGAAAAAAAAUAUAUAUAUAUUUUUUGUGUAGGAGACCAAAAUCAAGACACAUAAAUAAAUUAAAAAAAAUGACUUUCAAGGAACAAAACUCUUUUCCUAAUGCAUGACACCUGAUAGAAAAUGACUUAUGUAUUUGUGCUGAUUGUCCAAGGAAAAAAUAAAACUAGGUAAGAGAGGGGCAAGACAAGGAAAAAUUUCAUGAUAUACCAAUACUUCUGCUAAUCGGCACAGCAGGGCAAGGAUCUUAAGAAUGAAUAUAUGAAUUCAAAUUCAAUUAUUCAAAAAAAAUAAAUAAAUGCAAGACUAAAUCGAAAUGAGACCUCAUAGUGUAAUAAUAUCUGUCAGGCCCUGAUUCUCAAUAUCUGUCUCUUCAAUUUACUCUGCAAACUUAUUUAAUCACAUUCUUAUGAAUAAGUACUCCAAACAGUGGACUGACCUUUGAAUCAAAAGGUAACUGAUAAAGAAUGCUAUGAAUCGAUCAAAUAAAUCAACAUAUAACUAAUUUAUUGAAUUAGAGGAAACAAAGUUUUCCAAGCCAUCACAAUCGAUGUCCGCCAAUAAUUCAGCAGACAAUCUGCCAGCAGAAAUUUAUGAAUCGAUCAUACCAAAAUUAUCACUCAACUUAUUUCGUGCCCAUUUGACUAAACAUUGUAUAGACAAAAAAAAAAAUCCAUGGCCCGCAAUUUUAUUUGAUAUAUUCACAAUGUCAUUUUUCCCCUCUUUUACUGGCUUUGGGCUUCCUUUUUUAUAUAUUUUCUUGACAACAACUCUUAUCACACGUAUCAUGGCAUUUUUAUUGAGCUUGACGUCAAAUAAAUAUUCAUCAUAUCCUUUCAUUGGAUGCGACGGCAGAGAAAUUGACUCUAUAUUAUUACUUCGUGCUUGAAGACGGUAAAAUAAUAAGAUUUAGAUAAGCACAAAAAAAAAAAAAGGAGAAGUUGGUCUACUACUAAACUUUGAAAUUAUCAUUCAUCUCUUGAAUUGUAACACUUUCACAAUAAAAGUUUUUAUCCUUUUGGACAAAGAAUAAUGCCACACCAACUUCUUAUCUGUUGCACUUAAGGCGCUAAAUAGACGAACCCAAAAAAUAAAUGCUAAAUGAACGUAUUUUCUAGCUAUCUAUAUCUAUCUCCAUGUUAUUAUGAUAUCCAACAAUUUGCAAUUGUGAGGUUAGCUACAGCCUGUGGUGCGUAUUUUUUUGGCACAAUUGGUGGUUUCCUUUAUUGUCACUAGUCAUAAUAGAAAAAACAACUCACUCAUGUUUGGAUAUAUUAUUACUUGAAAAAAAAAAAUUAUACUUGUAUCAGAAGCACAUUUUUUCAUUUUAUUUUUAUCUUUCGAAUUUUUUCUUUAUUUCACAAACUUUACAUACAUUGUUAUUAAAUUCAGCCCAUAUAUCAACCCAAUUCAGUAACUAGUUCAAUGGGAUAUUGGUUCAACCCAGGAUUCACUGAUUGACUCGAUGGUUGUAUUAUAUAAUAAAAUAAUGUAUUUGGAUUAUUAAAAAUAAUAUAAUCAUUUAACAAGUUGUUGAACCGCCAAUUUUUUGAGAUUUUACGAAUUGAAUUGAUAAACCAUUGACUAGUUAAUGUGCUCCUCUCUUAAUUGAUCUAACUACUUACCUAGCCCGAUUAGGUAGCUAGUUCACCAAGUUGUCUAGUUGAACCUAGGGGUGUAAUCAAACCAACUCGCGAGCAGCUCGGUCAAAAAUUUGACUUGAACUCGGGUUGACCGAGUUCGAGUCUAAUUCGAGCGCCUCUAUAAAGCAAACGAGUCGAGUUCGAGUAUUCAGAAGCAACGCUCGAGAGCUAGUCGAGUCUUAUCGAGUUUUUUAAUUUUAAUUCUUUAAUAUAUUAUUAUUAUAAAAUUACUCUUAUAUCCAAAAUAGUUAUUGAAUUUACGAAAUGUUUCAAGUCGUAUAAAAAUUUUAAAAGAGCAAUAAUGUCUUUUCACUAAAAAAUUAUCAAGAAAAUGAAAUUUUGUAGCUCGAUAAGGCUCAAAUUGACUUGAACCCAUGCGAGUCGAGCUCGAGUUCUACGAGCAAGUUUCGAACUCGAGUUCGAGUUCCAAUAAUACUACUCGCUCGAGAGUCGAGAUCGAGUAUGGCACUCGAUUACAUCCCUAGUUGAACUGUCAAAUUGUGUCAUGAUUAUAUCAUAAAAUGUACUAUAACAAUUAUUUCAAAUAAUAUUUCGAAUAAUGCCUUCAUCAAAUCUCCAAACAGUGACUUUCGACUGACUUUCGAGCCCAUUGUUGUUGAAGCAUACAAUUCGUUGUAGGAACUAUCCCAAAAAACAAAAAGAAGGUUGGAACUAUUAAUUCAGGGAGGAUAAAUCAAACAAAAACAAAAGUAUAGAUUUGGUCCACGUAGGCAAGAUUAGAUAUGACUGGUAAUUGCUACAGCUACCGAAACAUCAAUAGAUAGCAACAUUUCAAGAUUUGAUAGUACAAUCCUAUCAAUUGAUUACGAGGACCGUCGAUUGAUAGUAAAUUUUUCCGUCAUUUUUGUAACAUGAUAAAAAUUUUCUACACAGUAUACAGUAAAAGAAAAACGCCAAUCUAUGAGUGAAGACUACUCGUGAAAUAUGUAGUACAAGAAUUUGAAGUUUUCUACUUUUAUCUGUCGGAUUUUUGCUUUUUACUUUGGUGCAUUUGAAUUGUAUGUUAAUGCAGGGUCAGUUAGCUAGCCAUGAAGAACAUAUAAUAGCACUAUAUGUAUAUAAGGUAUUUGGAUCCUACUUCUGAUGUAAGGGCCAAAUUGGUGAGUAAUAUCUAAGUACCGUGUAACUGAUUUAUAGUUUCAAGAGCAUAUUCUAACUUUCGAUAAUGAUCGGAGUCGAAACUAUCCAAACUUUAUUCUUACAAAAAACGAAACAUAAGAGGAAAAUAUUUUUCACGGAAAACCUGACUUCUUUUUGUAACGAGCUUUGUAACGAAGAACUCAUUGUUCUAUAUGGCGAAGUAUCCAUUACGGCACUGUAUUAUGCACCACAACCUAAUUUAUGAUGUGCUUCUGCUUCUCAUGCUCUUGGUCUAAUUCUAUUUUUUCUUCACGAGAUAAGAAAAACAAUUCCCAACGUAGACAUGAAAUAAAGUUAAAUUGAAAUGAGUUACUAAUAUGUUUGGUUACAAUCUUUUAAUAUUGAAUCGAUUUCACACAUCCGGGUAUCUAAGUUUAACUUAUUUUAUGUUGUUUUAACAUUGUCUGAUUUAGAUGCACGAUUGUAAUGGAGGAAUUGAGAGUUAAAAAAAAAAAAAAUGGUUUCACUUACUGAGGGGCUGCUUGGUUAAAGGGUUUGGGAAUCAAAUAAUGGAAUGAACCCCUUAUUUGUUGCUUGGGUUAAGUCUAUUGGAAUGCAAUUUCUGGAAUCAUUUCUAAAAAAUCGGACUUUCACCAUUCCUGAGUAAAUUGGGAGGUUUUGGACAAAACCCUCAACUCAUUCCCGAGCAAAAACAUUUAUGACGAACCUACCCUCUUUUUUUCUUCAUUACACGCCGCAUCUUCUGUUCUUCUUCUUCAUCAGAUUUUCUACCUCUUCUACUUCACCGGUUGGACAACCAUAAAGAUCAGUGGCUUUCGACUCUCCUUGGACAACGAAUUCUAGAGUUGAAGAGUCUUCUACUAGGGUGAAUUCCUUGAUCCCAGGUUAGUGGAUUACAAACUCCCUUGCCUCUGCAAUUUUCUUUUCGUAUGCAAGCUUUUCUCUUUCUUCUUCUCUGUUUUUUCAGGCUACUCACUGGGUAGCUGAAAAUAAAGAAGAAAAGAAGGGAAUCUGAUACAAUAAAACUAACUAGACCAAAAUUGGUUGUAAUACAUGUAUUUGAAUUCACUUACUUCAACAAAUACAUUAUUUUGUUCUUUUUUUUGGUGAGAUAAAUGUUAAUGUCACUAGAUUUGUCAUUUUUAUGGUUUUAAUGUGUUUUCUUGGAUUACGCAUUCAAUGGAGGUCAAUCAAUUCUUGAUCUUUUGGUUAUUUGAUCCGUGAAUACUGGUAUAGUUUGGGUGGGUUUCUACAUGCCCUGUACCUGUUUGUAAAAUUGUCUGCUUGAAUAGCUUUCAGUUUCAUAGUUAUUCGUACAUUAGGAUUUCAAGUUUCAACCAUCAAUUUCAUUUGUUUAUGCUUAUUUAUAUCUAUACAUCAUUGUGUUUUCGGAUGUUUGAUGCAUGUCUAGGCCCUUUUAAUAAGAUCAAUUGAUGUUUAAUGCAUUUGAAGAUUUUGAUGCCGUAAUCUAGUUUGGUGAAUACUUACGUUUGGUUGUCAUAUUGUUAUGUAGACAAAGAUGCCACGUUUGCCUAUUGAAAACAGAAGACGCAAAAAAUAUCGAGGGCAAAGCCAGAUUUUAUCAGGAAUGAUAAUGGUUGUUAUUGCACUGUUUAUGAUGUGGUACCAGUUAAUAUUCAUACAUCUCAAAAGUAGAAGACGCCAAAUAAAAUCAAAAGAAGAAAAAGUCACUGAGCGCAUGCAACACUUAUUCAAUUUGACUAGGGAGAGUGAUGCUUAUUGUAUUAGCGAACUUCGUAUGGAUAGACGAACAUUUGGGAUAUUAUGUGAAAUGAUUAGAGACACUGGAGGUUUGAAAGCUAUAAGAAACAUGUCAAUAGAAGAAAUUGUUGCCAUGUUUGUAUAUGUUUUGGCUCACCACAAGAAAAGUAGAACAAUUUGUGGUCUAUUUUGGAGAAGUAGAGAAACGGUGAGUCGUCAAUUUAAUCUUUGCCUCCUAGCAGUUUUGAAAUUGCAUACUAUAUUACUUAAGAAGCCUGAGCCUAUUACCGAAGAUUGCACAGAUGAGACAUGGAAAUGUUUUAAGGUAAUUCAAAUAUUAAAAUACAAUCAUUUAAUAAAAUGUAUGUUUUCAUCUAAACUAUCCAAUAUAGACAUUUUAACUCAUUUAUAUUUUUUAUUUUUGUUAAAAUAGAAUUGUUUAGGUGCCUUAGAUGGGACAUUAAUAGAUGUGACACCACCCACCGAACAAAAAUCAAGAUACCGAACGAGAAAAGGAAGUAUUGCAACGAAUGUAUUAGGGGUUUGUUCUCCUAAUAUGCAAUUUAUCUAUGUCUUGCCUGGUUGGGAAGGUUCGGCACAUGAUGGUCGUGUGCUUCGAAAUGCUAUCUCUAGACCAAAUGGUCUUAGAGUCCCACAAGGUAAACAUAUAUUGCAGUAUUCAAUACCAUUCAAUCAAUUUUUUUUCGAAAAUAAGGUAGUCUAGUAUUAAUUUGUACAUGAUUGAAUUUUGAAGGUUGUUAUUACUUGGUGGAUGCUGGAUAUUGUAAUGCUGAUGGAUUUCUUGCCCCUUAUCGAGGGCAAAGAUAUCACCUUAAUGAAUUCAAUGGUUAUCGACCACAAAGACCAGAGGAAUAUUUCAACAUGAAACAUUCUAAAGCUAGAAAUAUCAUAGAAAGAUGUUUUGGAUUACUAAAAGGAAGGUGGAAGAUUCUAGCAUCCCCUUCAUUUUUUCCAAUUCAAAGACAAGUGCGAAUAAUUAUGGCAUGUUGUCUGCUGCACAACUUGAUAAGGAAGUUCAUGACUUUUGAUCCACAAGAAUUACUACAAAGUGAAGAAAAUGAAAGUGAAGAUGAAGACAGUGAUGAAGAAGUAGAGUGUAUAUCCACUAUUUUGCCAAGUGAUCAAUGGGCAAAUUUUAGAAAUAAUUUAGCACAUGAAAUGUUUGACAAUUGGAGGGCUGGACUUAGUAUUUAGCUAUGAAUGGAUGUUUAGCUCUUAGACUUAUUAAAUUUGGAUUGACAUUUGAUGUACUCUUGUAGUGGAUUUGUGAAUUAGAUUGACACUUGAUGUAUGUUCUUUUAAAUUUGGAUUGACUUUUAAUUGUAUGUUCUUUUAUGUGUUUUGUUAUAUUAUAAAUUUCAGUUAUAUGCUAUUGUGUAUCAAAAUUAAUUGAUAUAUAUGGGUUGACUUCUAAAUGAUAGGAUGGAGAAUGAUGAAAUUGUACGUGGAAGAGGGAAAAAUAAAUGUUUUUGGACUGGUGAAGAGGUAAAAGUGCUCAUAGAAUCAUUGCAAGAGUUGGCUUGUGAUCCAAUGUGGAAAUCAGAUGGAGGAUUUAAAAAUAAUUAUAUGAGCGAAUUGCUUAAAAUUAUCUUGCGUAAGCAACCUACUUUUACCAAACAAGUCAGCCCACAUAUUGAAUCAAAAGUUAAGUGGCUGAAAAAUAGGUUCCAUGCAAUUGUUGAAAUGUGCAAAGAAAGUGGUUGUAGUUGGAAUGAUGCUGAGAAAAAGAUUUCUUGUGAAAAACAGUGGUAUGAUGAUUGGUGCAAGGUAAGAAAUUGAUUACUUUUUACAUUCUGAUAUGUUCUUUUUCAACCUUUUAUUAAGAUUAUCAUUUAUCUUUCUAUUCUAUCUCUAGACUCAUAAGGAUGCGAAGGGCCUUUGGGAUGUCAAAUUUCCAUAUUUAGGAGAUCUUGAAAUUGUAUAUGGAAGAGACAGAGCCACUGGAAAUGUUGCUGAAGAUUUUGCACAAGCUGUCCAAGAUAUGGAAGAUGUCCAAAAUUUGGAGGAAGGACAUGAAGGGCUUGAUGCUAUGUCAAACUCGGAUAAUGAUAAGGUAGAAGAAGAUGAAGUAAAUUCCAUAGAGCAAUCAACUCAACCAAGCUCAACAAGUACAAGAAAUUCCAAGAAACAAAAGAAACAAUCCCCUCCCAUUGCAAAUGUGUCAAAAAAAAUGAAAUCUGCAUCAACAACAAGGGGUGAUCUUGAUGCAUCAUUGCAACUUCUCACCAGCAAAUUUGGAGAUUUCGUGGAGGGAAUUCAAGCUAAUUUCACAACUAUGGCAGCAGCCAUGUCAAAUGAGGAUAAACGUGAGCAAUUGGUCUCCGAUAGAAGAGAUCAAGUUGUUGCUGAGUUAAUGAAACUUGCUUUACCGAGUGGAGAUGUAAUGAAUGCAGCCGACAUACUUUCGGAGCAGAUUUCCAAGCUUCAUGUGUUCUACAAUCUUCCUGCAGAAAUGAAACGACAAUAUGUAAUUAACCUCCUUUAUCCUCCAUCUACUCGCUGAAGUAAAAUUAUUGUUAGCUGGAAAGUGAUGAUUUGAUGGCAAUUUCUUUUUGUUAUGGUGAUUGUUAGAUGGUUAUAUGAUUAGUCUUUUGGAGAUUGUGGACAUUGAAUGGCACUCUCGACUGGAUUAGACAAUUGACUUGUAUUUGGUAUGGUUAGCUUUUGUGAUUUGAGUCUCCUUCUUUUGUUCAUAUAUGUAAGGAGAGAUCUAUUUCAUAUCAUUAUCUAAUAUAGGAACCACAAAUGACUUGUUAAUGGAGUAAAUUUCCAAAAAGAAAGAGUUUUUAAACUAACUUCCUAAAGGCUGGCAAUUUUUAAGUCUCUUCCCCAAGGGUGAAAAACACAUUCAAGAAAUGUGUUCUUCCAAAUAAAAAUGCAACUUUCAAAUACGUUAUUUUAAUUUUCGUAAAUUUGUUUAAAUAUAAAAAAUUGGUUAAAUAGCGUAUUAAAUACAAAACCUGCUAAUUUCCUAUAAAGAGCUGGUAUCUUAUAAGUAAUUUCUUUUUUUUUUUUUAACUUUCACAUAUUUAAUUUAUGUUAAAUACAAAACAUACUAGUUUUCCUUUGGGCGCUAUUUAAUCAAUUUUUUCCAUAAAGAAUUGGUAUGUUUUCCAUAAAGAGUUGGUACAAAACAUACUACAAAACCUGUCAGUUUCCUUUAAAGAGCUGGUAUCUUAUGGGCAAUUUUGUUUUUUUAACUUUCACAUAUUUAAUUUAUGUUAAAUACAAAACAUACUAGUUUUCCUUUGGGCACUAUUUAAUCAAUUUUUUCCAUAAACCUGGUACAAAACCUGCCAGUUUUCCAUAAAGAGCUGGUAUCUUAUGGGCUAUUUAACCAAUUUUUCAUAUUUAAAUAAAUUUCCAAAACAUAAAAUAGCGUAUUUGAAAGUUGCGUUUUUAUUUGGAAGAACACAUUCCUUGGAUGCAUUUUUCACCCUUUGGGAAGAGACUAAAAAAUCGUCACCUUUUGGGUGAUUGUUUAAAAACUCCUUUUUUUGGGAAUUUACUCCUUGUUAAUGCAGCCACUAUAUUUAUUUUCUGGUAUUAAUUUUUUUAUUAUUUAUGAUUUUCUUAUGUUUUAUCAAAAAGUUAAUAACUAUUGUAGUUACAAUUAUGAAAUGUUAAUUUGUCGUAUGUGUAAUUCUUUUGUUUUAGAAGAAUUGUUAUAUCAGGGGUAAAUUUGGAAUUUAAUUGCAUUUAAUUCCGAAACACUCAUCAAACCAAGCAUCAGGAAUUGGAAUAAUGCUAAUUCCAAUGUGUGAACCAAGCAAGAUAUCGGAAUGAAAAGUUUUAAUUCCAAAACCAGAGUCUAUGAUUCCAAUUACAAUUCCAAUUCCUAAACUUGAACCAAGCACCCCCUGAGUUUCUCUUCAGCUACUGGAUUAGUACCCCAAAAAAAAAAAAAAAUUCAUUAUGGGCUUUUGGUUUUAUAAUUCGCCAUUGCAGUAUGUACCUGAAAUUAUGCACCUUCCCAAAAAGUCCAAAUCCUUCACUCUCAUGGGCUUUACCUGGGAUUGUUCUAAAUUUUUUUAACUUCCUUAUGUGGAUGCUGAACAAGUAGUAAAGUACAAAUGAAGCAUCUUAAGACCAUAGAGGUAUGGCCGUUAACAAAAGAAAUUCGAAGGAACAUAUCAUUUUGGGUAUGAAAUAGGGGUUUACAUGAGUCUACUUAAACUAAACAUGUUAAUGUUCAAAUUUGAUUGAUUAGUUUAUUUGCCAUACCGAACUCAAAUAAGCUUUUAUCAUACUGAGAUUGAGUAUCUUGAAUUUUUACAUGUAAAUUUUAAGUUUUACACCAAUUGAGUUAGAUUCCAAUUGAAGUCGAAACUUUUCUGAGCAAAAAAUAUGAUUCAUAUUUGGCUUGAUUAGUUGGUUACUUAAAUUCAAAUGAGUUUUUACAGUGCCAAAUUUGAUUGGAAUACUAAGUAGGUAAUUGUGGAUGAUGCAAUGCUUGGAAUAAUACUUGACCCUAUUUGAAAACCUAGGCCCUAUUUGACAACUCAAAUCAGCACUUAAAAUUAAUAGAUUCAGAUUUUAAUAUAUUCAGAUGCAUUUAAUAACAAAAAAUAGAACUUUUGAAUUAAUUAAAUGACACUAAAUUUUUUGGGUAAAACUUGUUCUGAAAAAAUAAGUAAUAAGCUAUUGGGUUAUCAUUUAAUGUGAUAUAUACUUAAAUUUAUCAAAUUUAGUAUUUAGCAGUUCAGUAAUUUAAUAGAUUUAGAUUUCAAAGUUUAGAUUUUAGUUUUCAAAUUUUAGUUUUAUUAAACACGCCCUUAGGAAGCAUUUCUAUAAAUAUUAACUUUCCCUUUAUUAAAAGGGAAGGUAAUUGUGUAAUUCACAAGUUGGCAAACUUUAGCUUCAAACUUGUGAAACUUUGUGGAAGGCGUCCUUCCGUCCUUUGAUUAGUUGGAUUAGCCAAAGAUGAUAUAGGAGCUGUUGCUCCAAUUAUGUAACUACUUUUUCCAAUGGCAAUACAUUUCAGUUGUCAUUUGCAAAAAAAAAAAAAAAAAAAUCUUUCAGCUCUAAUUGAGAGAGAAAUAAAGUUUUAUAGGAUUUUACUCAUUAAAACAAUUAUCGAUAAAUGGAACGCUGAACUUUGAAGCUCGAUGUUUAUACAGAAUGAACAAUCAUGGUUAAACAAUUCACAAAUGUUUGAUAGGUAUCAACAUGAACAGUUGCGAUGGAGGUCUUAUAUAACUCCAGCACAUCUCCUUCAAU
rnacentral:lncRNA from 1 species